rnacentral:lncRNA from 1 species
ACCCAUUUCUUUAUUUCUAUAUAUGUAUGUUGUAGUUACAAUGCAUGUAGCUAUGCAUGAAGGUAUGUAUGUAUCUAUACACUACCUGCCCACUACCUUCCUAUCUAUCCAUCUAUAUAAAACAUUUAAUUACAUACAGUACAUAAACUGCUGAAUCUGACUUAGUACCAUCCUCUAUGGUGAAACACACAGGACGUGCCAGCCUCACACCAAUAACUGACAUGCUGUGUCACUUGAAGAAAAGUGGGUGGAGAAAAAUGCCAAAAGGAGGAUCCAGCUUCUACCCCAGCAAAUUGGGCAGCCCGGGUCUGGUGACAUUAUGCCAGACGCCUAUAACAGUGCCUGGGACAUGCCGAUUUGCUUGUCAUUCAGCCAGUGCCGGUGUCUGCACAGCAGGAAAAAGGCUCGCAGUUGUUUUGAUGGCGGUGACGAGGCGAUCGAAGAUCAAGCGAAUGCUUUGAUAAUCCCACGCUGGGCUCCACCCCCUGCCUAAUAAAUUGCUCACCGAGGACGAUCGAAUUCUGAGCAACAUGAAGAGAGUCCAGUAGUGGUGCCAAUGAGUGGAAGGGCUCGGGUAAACAUUUUCUGUAUCCCAGGGUAACGUUCCAUUAAUCUGCUGGCGGCACAGCGCAGCCAUGUUGGACUACGACCAGGCUACCUCCUUCCUGGGAGAAUGGGGUCCUUUCCAGUACGUUAUCUUCUUCAUGCUAAGUGCCAGUAUCAUCCCCAAUGGCUUCAAUGGCAUGUCUGUAAUGUUCUUGGCCGCCACCCCCGACCAUCACUGCCUGGUCCCCGACACCGCCAACCUGAGCCAGGCUUGGAGCAAUGUGAGCAUCCCCUGGGAGCUGCACAAUGGGGAGCAGGUGCUGAGUAAAUGCAGGAGGUACAGGCUGGACACCCUGAGUGAGUACUCGGCUCAGGGCUUGCUCCCUGGGAGGGAUGUCAAUGUGAGUGGCAUAGAGCAGGAGAAGUGUCUGGAUGGAUGGACCUACAGCAAAGAGCUUUAUCUCUCCACCAUCAUAACAGAGGUGAGUGCAUGAGGUCAGCUCCUGUGCCAGUAAGAUAUCUCUCUGUGAAUACACCCUAUUAUACAUAUCAGCUACAACAGUGUCAUUUGUGGCUGUUGGAAAUAGAUAGUGUUGAAGUUGUGAGGGGCUGUUAACAUCAUUAUGGUGACCGAUCCUUCUAUAGAUAGUUUUUUUUUAGUUUUUUUUUUAAGAGGAAUAGGUUGUGUAACUCAGAACCUUGGUGUUUCAUAACGUUGCUAUAAGCAAAGAUGCAUAUCCUUGAAUGACAGAAUCACUAGUUAAAUGGCCACAUGGAAAUGUGCAUUCCAUACUGGCAGAUAUGGGUAGAACUUUAACCCCUUACGUUCUUGGCAGUUGUCCAAGUUCCGAACCAAAACAAAACCUCGAAUUUGAGCGAUGUGUUUAUUCAAUCAUAAUUUACUUCUUAGAUAUUAAGUGCAUCCAGAGGUAUUAUAUAUCACAUUGUUAUGGACAAAAAAAUGAUUACUUUUUACAUCAAAUAUGUAUAUGUGAAAUGUAAGUUAUCUAAAUAAGUGUGAGAAAUUAAGAAUUGUAUUUGUUUCUAAGUUCAACAUGGUAUUUUACUGUGAAUAUGAUUUAUUGUAAUAAAACACACAUAUUUGUAUUCUGUGGUGUUCCAGGUUUGCUGAGUUAUCUGUAAGUUAUAGGGCUAAAUAUGAGCCCCACAGGGUUAUUCACUAAAGUGAGAAUUCAAAGUGAAUUCUAAAUGUAAGGGUAAACGAAACAAAGUAAAAAAAUUCUCUAAGUUAUACUUUACGUUCAGGUACUCUGGCCUUACAUUUGAAAUUUACUUUGUAUUCUCUCUAGUAAAUAACCCUGGCAGUCUUUAUGCUCCACAUGGAAAUUUGACAAAUUGAUUUUCUGGGCCUAAGUCGCCAUUGAGGCAGUAAUGCAGCCCAGGAAAUAAAAUUAACCCCAUAAUGGUACAACAUUUGAAAAAGUAAACUGACCAUGAUAUUUCAAAAUGACCAAUAUCCAACAAAACCUGGCCACAUUUAUUAUUCAUAUUUUUUUUCCCACACACUGCAUUUUUUCUGAUUACAUCAUCAUCCAUACAUAAUUUACUUAUAUAAAAUACGUAUAUUUGUGUUCAGAGAUGUCCCUGAAAUACAACAGUACCCCCAAUGUAGGACCUGCGCAACCAUUAGGCAGCACUUAUGUUGCACUAGCAGGAUGGGAGCACACUGCACAUUGCUCACCUUCCUGCCCGUCAUACUAUGUAGUGUGAGUAAGCAGACCCAGGUAGAGGAUCUUCUGUAUAUUUUACCCGGUCUGAUAGGAAGUGCUCACUAACCGCAACGAGCAGCUUUCUUUUGGACCAGGUAGAAGAUACAGAAGAACCUCCACACUACAUGGAGAUAAGCAGAGUCAAAGAGGAAAGAGACCAUAUUGGAGGGGGUGAGUGGAAGAGUCUACAAAAGGAGGGGGUGUAUCUCUUUUUCCCAUUUCUCAGCCCAGGGGAAGGCUGGCAGCUUUAGGCCUAGGAGGGCAAAUCCAGUCAAGUGGCCCAUUGCACCACCGUAUCAGCUCACCAUCCAUGCCCACCUUUUCCUCGUUUUAUAACGGAUAUUGAUGUUAUGCUAAUAAGUAGCUCUUUGCCAUACCCGCUCCUUCACAGCUCUGACUUUCAAUGUUGUCAGAGCGCAGGCUGAGAAUCUCUGAGCCUAUAUUCUGACUCACUAACUGAGCGCCGGAACCACAAGAAAGAGGAUAUGAUCUGACUGCACCUACUGCUGGUGCGCACCAGUGGACCACUAGCGAAUCGUUUAACUUGAAUAUGUUGGUGUCCCCAACUUGUGAGCUUUGUUGGCCGCCGGGCACCUCUGUUGUCAUGGCACCCUGCAUGAUCGCACAGCUUGCACACCCCAAAGGCUGGCCCUGCUGACAGAUACACUGGCACUCUGUCACGGUGCCUGAUCGGCACCUCUGUGUGACUGCAUCUGAUCGGUGCAGUCACACUAAAGGAGGGAGAGGUUACUCACCUUAUCUCCAGAGCCUCUCCAUCCAUGCAGUUUGUAAUUCAGCGGCCGGGUCCAGUGUUAGGAAGGAUGCCGGCCGCUGCAAGACGGCGCUAAAUAAUGACGCCGCCCACAAUGACGCCACUUGUGACGUGAACGUGCGUACGGCAUCACGUUUUCAGCGUGCAUGCACGUUCUGGGGUCAUGGGACCCAAAUCAGCCAAUAGCAGUUGUUCAGUGCCCUGUUGUGGUUUCCACCCUGUUGGUUAUCUGAGAGCCCGUUCCUGAUUCUGAUAUUUGGUUUUUGAUCUUGGCUUGGCUUCCUGUAUUUCUGGUAUCCCUGACCCUUUGGUUUUGUUCUUUCCAUAUUUGUUCCUUUCUGCAUGCCUGACCAAAGCUCGUUACUGUUUAGUCUAUUACGUUAAUUCCAGCCAAUCUAAGGCCCGGUAAUACGUUGUUACUGUUUGUAUGUGAUACGUGUUUUACUUAAUUCUGCAUGUUCGGCCACUGGUUCGUCCUGACAAACUCACUCUCAAUAACACACACACACACACGCACAAACCCUGACAGACACACACACACAUUCACUGACAGGCAGACACACACAUUCACUGACACACACACACUGACACUUAUUUUCAGACACACAGAGACUUACACAGUCUUGCACACACACUCACAAAUUAAUUUUAUUGCUUGUUGCUCCUACCUUUAGGAGUCCUCUGGGUCCUCUCUCCGGGGUCCAGCGGCUUUCAUGAUCUUCCUGCUCCGCUCUGCUCCCUCACAGUGAUGUUUAGUGAUCCGGGGCCGGAAUGACGUCAUAUUCUGGCCCCCGGCAUCACCACAGAGGGCGCGCGAGGGAGCAGGACGAUCAUAAGCUCAGACAGCGCUCCCUUGCCGCAGCCUGCCUCCUUCCACACUCUGGUACUGUAUCCCUCUGGGAUAAGCAGGUGCCUACUCUGCCUUGCUACAGGGACGACCUUAGGUGGCCAGCUGGCCAUCUGCUGGGCUCGCUGUGAUUGGCCAUCAGCCUGCUCAGCGCGGCACCCUCCAGCUUCUGGCGUGGUGCCCCUCGUGCCCUGCAGCUGACAUUUUUAAAAUGAUUUAGGGCGGCCAAUGGGGGCAGUUGCCUCCCUGCCCCUCGUGCCAGACCGCCCCUGCCAAAGCCCCUCUGUGUGUCUCUUCCCCCAGCUUUGUGGCUCUCUUUCUCCCCUGUUUGUAUCUUUCUACCUUUCAACCCAUUUUUGUGUGUGUCUCUUUCUUCCCCAUGCCACUUUGUGUGUCUCUUUGUCUCCCCAGCACCUCUGUGUCUCUGUGUCAUUCAACCCCUCUGUGUGUCAAUUCUUCCCCUUCCCCAGCGCCUCUGUGUGUCUCUUGCCCCCAGGACCAUUGUGGGUCUCUUUGCCCCCCAGCCCUCUGUAUGUCUCUUUGUGUGUCUUUUUGUCCCCCUAGCACCUCAGUCCCCCGCAGCCACUCUGUGUGUCUCUUUGUGCCUCCCAGCUCUUCUGUGCACCUCUUUGAACGCCCUUAGCCUUCUGUGUGACUCUUUGCCCCCUGUGCCAGCUCACUUCUUUUCAUGUAGCGUUUCCAAGCCACGGACUGCAGUAGAUAAUUAAAAUUAUGGCCCAGCCCACUCUUCACAACUAUUUCCCAUAGGAAAACGCUGUGCUGUGUCAAUCAGCAUCUCCUCCAUGCAUUGUGCACCACUGACCCAGGAAGCACCUCUAGUGGCCGUCUGAGUGUCUGCCACUAGAGGUGUUUCUAGGCAGUAAUGUAAACACUAAUAAAAUGUUUUUAAAAAGUAGGCUGUGUCUUUCAGAUGGCAAUGUGACUUUAUCACACGACAUAUACAAUAGUGUAACAAAAUAAAGUGUAUAUAACAAAGUGCAUCAAGCUUAAAAGGGCUGGUGAAAAGUACUAGAAUAUGUGCACAAUCAGUCAAAUCUGUGCAAAAAUACGAAAACAGUGCCUUACAGUGAAAAGUAUAUAAAAGACACUUACCGUAUAUACUCGAGUAUAAGCCGACCCGAAUAUAAGCCGAGGUCCCUAAUUUUACCCCAAAAAACUGGGAAAACUUAUUGACUCGAGUAUUAAGUAGUAAGACUAGGGUGGGAAAUGCAGCUACUGGUAAAUUUCUAAAUAAAAUUAGAUCCUAAAAAAAUUAUAUUAAUUGAAUAUUUAUUUACAGUGUGUGUAUAUAAUGAAUGCAGUGUGUGUAUGAGUGCAGUGUGUGUAUAUGAGUUCAGUGUGUGUGUAUGAGUGCAGUGUGUGUGUAUGAAUGCAGUGUGUGUGUAUGAGUGCAGUGUGUGUAUGAAUGCAGUGUAUGUGUGUGAGUGCAGUGUGUGUGUGUGUGAGUGCAGUGUGUGUGUAUGAUGCAGUGUGUGUGUGUGAGUGCAGUGUGUGUGUAUGAAUGCAGUGUGUGUGUAUGAGUGCAGUGUGUAUGAGUGCAGUGUGUUUGUGUGUGUGUUUGUGUGUGUUGCAGAGCCUUGGUGGGGGGUGGGCAUUUUUAUUAUUAUUUUUUUUUAAUUAUUUUAAUAAUUUUUUUGUUUUAUUAAUAUUUUGUUAUUAUUAUUUUUUAUUUUAUUAUUAUUUUUAAUAUUUUAUUAUUAUAUUUAUUUAUUUUUGUCCCCCCUCCCUGCUUGAUACAUGGCAGGGAGGGGGGCUCUCCUUCCCUGGUGGUCCAGUGGCAUUGGCAGUUCAGUGGGGGGAGGAGGGGGGCUGGCAGAGCUGUAACUAACCUCUCCUGCAGCUCCUGCCAGCUCUCUCCUCCUCCGCGCCGGUCCGUGCAGCACCUCGGUCAGCUCCCAGUGUAAGUCUCGCGAGAGCCGCGGGGUCAUAGUGCGGCUCUCGCGAGACUUACAGUCUGAGCUAAGAGAAGAGCUGCACGGACCGGCGCGGAGGAGGAGAGAGCGGACAGGAGCUGCAGGAGAGGUAAGUUACAGCUCUGCCAGCCCCCAGUCUGUAUUAUGGCAAUGUAAAUUGCCAUAAUACAGACUGACUCGAGUAUAAGCCGAGUUGGGGUUUUUCAGCACAAAAAAUGUGCCGAAAAACUCGGCUUAUACUCGAGUAUAUACGGUACUUUAUAUUACAAAAAAUGUACUUGAAACUCUCAGCAUAAAACCUAUUUACACUCAGUGUAAAAAUAAUAGAGAAGAGAUACAGUUGCAAGAAAAAGUAUGUGAACCCUUUGGAAUGAUAUGGAUUUCUACACAAAUUGGUCAUAAAAUGUGAUCUGAUCAUCAUCUAAGUCACAACAAUAGACAAUCACAGUCUGCUUAACCCCUUAAGGACCAAACUUCUGGAAUAAAAGGGAAUCAUGAAAUGUCACACAUGUCAUGUGUCCUUAAGGGGUUAAACUAAUAACACACAAAGAAUGAAAUGUUGCCAUGUUUUUAUUGAACACACCAUGUAAACAUUCACAGUGCAGGUGGAAAAAGCAUGUGAACCCUUCGAUUUAAUAACUGGUUGAACCUCCUUUGGCAGAAAUAACUUCAACCAAACGUUUCCUGUAGUUGCAGAUCAGACGUGCACAACGGUCAGGAGUAAAACUUGACCAUUCCUCUUUACAGAAUUGUUUCAGUUCAGUAAUAUUCUUGGGAUGUCUGGUGUGAAUCGCUUUCUUGAGGUCAUGCCACAGCAUCUCAAUCGGGUUGAGGUCAGGACUCUGACUGGGCCACUUCAGAAGGCGUAUUUUCUUCUGUUUAAGCCAUUCUGUUGUUGAUUUACUAUGCUUUGGGUCAUUGUCCUGUUGCAACAUCCAUCUUCUGUUGAGCUUCAGCUGGUAGACAGAUGGCCUUAAGUUCUCCUGCAAAAUGUCUUGAUAAACUUGGGAAUUAAUUUUUCCUUCGAUGAUAGCAAUCCGUCCAGGCCCUGACGCAGCAAAGCAGCCCCAAACCAUGAUGCCCCCACCACCAUACUUCACAGUUGGGAUGAGGUUUUGAUGUUGGUGUGCUGUGCCUUUUUUUCGCCACACAUAGUGUUGUGUGUUUCUUCCAAACAACUCAACUUUGGUUUCAUCUGUCCACAGAAUAUUUUGCCAGUACUGCUGUGGAACAUCCAGGUGCUCUUGUGCAAACUGUAAACGUGCAGCAAUGUUUUGUUUGGACAGCAGUGGCUUCCUCUGUGGUAUCCUCCCAUGAAAUCCAUUCUUGUUUAGUGUUUUACGUAUUGUAGAUUCGCUAACAGGAAUGUUAGCAUUUGCCAGUGACUUUUGUAAGUCUUUAGCUGACACUCUAGGAUUCUUCUUCACCUCAUUGAGCAGUCUGCGCUGUGCUCUUGCAGUCAUCUUUACAGGACGGCCACUCCUAGGGAGAGUAGCAGCAGUGCUGAACUUUCUCCAUUUAUAGACAAUUUGUCUUACCAUGGACUGAUGAACAGCAAGGCUUUUGGAGAUACUUUUAUAACCCUUUCCAGCUUUAUGCAAGUCAACAAUUCUUAAUCGUAGGUCUUCUGAGAGCUCUUUUGUGCGAGGCAUCAUUCACAUCAGGCAAUGCUUCUUGUGAAAAGCAAACCCAGAACUGGUGUGUGUUUUUUAUAGGGCAGGGCAGCUGUAACCAACACCUCCAAUCUCAUCUCAUUGAUUGGACUCCAGUUGGCUGACAUCUCACUCCAAUUAGCUCUUGGAGAUGUCAUUAGUCUAGGGGUUCACAUACUUUUUCCACCUGCACUGUGAAUGUUUACAUGGUGUGUUCAAUAAAAACAUGGCAACAUUUCAUUCUUUGUGUGUUAUUAGUUUAAGCAGACUGUGAUUGUCUAUUGUUGUGACUUAGAUGAUGCUCAGAUCACAUUUAAUGACCAAUUUGUGCAGAAAUCCAUAUCAUUCCAAAGGGCUCACAUACUUUUUCUUGCAACUGUAUAUAGUGCAAUAUUGCCAAGUAAAUAUGUAUAAUGAGUUAUAAAACAAAAAAUGACCACUCACAAACUGCCAGCGUUUAGAUACUUUUUAAUAGGGCUCCAAUAUGGUCAUCCACAAACAGGCAGCACAGUGUCCUUUCACAUACUUUUUACUGUAGGGCACUUUUUUUCGUAUUUUUGCACAGAUUUGACUGAUUGUGCACAUAUUCUAGUACUUUUCACCAGCAUUUUUUAGCUUGUUGCACUUUGUUGUAUGCACUUUAUUUUGUUACACUAUCGUAUAUGUUGUGUGAUAAAGUCACAUUGUCAUCUUAAAGACACAGCACGCCUUUUUAAAACAAUUUUAUUAUGGUUUUGAGUGUAACUUUUAUGGGUUAUUGCACUUUAUAGGUGCUGCUAUACUUGCACAAGAAAAUUAUUUUGCACAAAUCAUUUCAAAGAGACUGUAUUUUAUUGAAUUAUUAUUUUAGUGCUUUUUUACUUGAAUAUACUUGUUUACUCAGUAAUGUAAACACUGCCUUUUAUCUGAAAGGACAGUGUUUACUGCAAAAAAAAUCCUGCAGGGACUGACUAUACUCACCAGAACAACUACAUUAAGCUGUAGUUGUGGUGACUAUAGUGUCCCUUUAAAUUUGAAAUGUACUUUGAAUCACCUUGUAUGUGUUCCCUAACUAUCUCUAUCACUAUUUCCUUCAUUUGUUAUCAUUCCUAUCCCUAGCAAUCAACAAUUGUCUGUUUUUGGUUUUUUUGUGGAGGACUCAGGCAUUCGACUAUAUUUAGUAGAUUGUAGCAACAACUACUUUGCAUCACCUUAUUUUCUAAUAACAUUUCCUAGAAAAAGAUUAUUUGGGUCAGCGGUUUUAGUUGAGUCUUACAGGGAUAUUAUUGAGAACGCAUAUAUAAUUAGAAAUUAAAAAAAUAUAUAGUUUCAGUCGUUUAAAUAACUUUCCAGUAACAUGGUGUUAUUAUUUGCAAUUGUGUUACUAAACACACUAGUUACAAUUUCAAGGGAGUUUAUGGAAAUACUAUUUAUUACUGCUGCUACAAUUAAAGGAACAUUAUAGCAUUAGGAAUACACAGUGGCGUCUCCAGGAUCCAUACUUAAGGGCACAUAAGGGGCCAGGCACAAAAGUAGGGGUGCAGUUAAAAAAUGUGUAUAUAUUUGUGUGCGUAAAUAAAUAUAAAAAUAUAUAUAUACACACACAUACAUACACAUGACUCGACAAAUUCCAGGCGCCAGGUCGCUAUGGCGACUAGACAUUUAGCUCAGGCAUUUGUCAGCCCUUUGCUAAGCCGCGCUAGAAACAUAAAAGCUGGCCGCCAUGGUGAGCAUAAAGUUAGCGCGGGAGGGAGCAGUAACCUUCCUGCAGUUCCUCUCUGCUCCCUUGCACGUGGUUAAUGACAUGACGUUACUCCGGCCCCAGCAUCACUACAGAAAACGCGAGGAGAGCAGAGAGAAACUGCAGGAAGUUUAGAGAGGAGACACACUGGACGCCAGGGAAAGAUCCAUUCAGCUCUCCCAAAGGUAGGGAGGCUGGUUGUAUUUAAAUAAAAAUAGCAAUUUGUGAGAAAAUGUGUGUGUUUUAGUCAGAGUGUGUGCCUGUCACUGUAUGUCUAUCAGAAUGUGUGUAUGUCUGUCAGUGUGUGUCUCAGUCAGAGAUUGCGUACGGGGAGGAAAUCUUCCAUGCAGGGGCAGUGCUUGUGUGCCGGGGAAGCUUCUGCACAGUGGCGGAACUAACGUAGAGUGGGCCCUGGUGCAAAAACUGUUUUGGGCCCCUGAAGACACAUGCCCAUCGGGUGGCCCUAAUUGCAUGGGCCCCUCGAUGGGCCCCAGUGUAAGCGCACACCAGCACUCCCUGUAGUUUUCCUUAUUACAGGCAAAACACCUUUUUACGAAAACUGGAAAACCUUUUCAGGAGAUGCAAGAUUAUUUUUCAUGGUGUUUAGAAGGGGCUGUGGUGAAGUGUGUGUAUAGAGGAGUCUUUUUUAUGGUGUACUAUGUGUAACUAGGGGCUGUAGCUUGAGCACGUGCUCAUGUAUAGGGGCUUUUGAGAUUGUGUGUGUGCUGAGAAGGCCUGUAAAGUGUGUGCCAUGUGCAUCAAGAAUAUUCACCUUUCCCUGAUCUUAGGGGUGGCACAAACAGAUCCCUGGUGGUUGAGAAGGCUGCCUAUCCAUCGGGUACAGGGGAGGUCACAAAAUAAGAGGUAUCUCUCUUGGAGCUCUAGCACUUACACAGACUGACCCAUACACACACACAGACUGACACAUACACACGGACUGCUCCCCCACAUACACAGACUGACCAAUGCACACACACAGACUGACCCAUACAUAUAUAGACUGACCCCCCACACACAGACUGACCCAUUCAUACACAGACUGCCCCCCCACACAGACUGACCCAUACACACACACACACACACACACACACAGACUGCUCCUCCACAUACACAGACUGACCCAUACACACACACAGACUGACACAUACAUACACUGACCCCCCACACACAGACUGACCCAUUCAUACACAGACUGACCUCCACAAAUACUGACUGACCCAAUCAUUAACAGCCUGACAUCCCCCACACACAGACUGACCCCCCACACACACAGACUGACCCAUACAUACAUAGACUGACCCCCCACGCACAGACUGACCCAUUCAUACACAGACUGACCCCCCACACAUAGAUCGACCCAUUCAUCCACACACACUGACUGACCCAAUCAUACACAGACUGACCUCCACAAAUACUGACUGACCCAAUCAUUAACAGCCUGACAUCCUCCCCACACGCAGACUGACCCCCCCACACACACAGACUGACCCAUACAUACAUAGACUGACCCCACACACACAGACUGACCCAUUCAUACACAGACUGACCCACUAAUACACACUGACUGAUCCAUACAUUAACUGCUUUAUAGGUGUGAAUUAGUACCUUGAAUUGACUCCUAUAGGAUACAGGAAGCCGAUGUAAGGAGCGACAGAGGGGUGAGGUGUGAGAGAAUCGACUAGAAAGGAAAAUCAGUCUAGCGGCAGCAUUCAUUACAGACUGUAAUGGUGCAAUAUGGCUUUUGGGAGACCAAUCAGGAGAGGGUUACAAUAAUCUAUGCAGGAAAUUACUAGAGCAUGGACAAGCUCUUUGGUAGCAUCUUGCAUAAGAAAGGGGCGGAUGCGGGCUAUGUUUUUAAGAUGGAAUCUACAGGAUUUGGCAACAUACUAGAUGUGAGGCUCAAAGGUGAGGCCAAAAUAAAGUAUGAUGCCACAACAGUGCGCUUGCAAGGAUGGAUGUGGAUACCACUAACUUGAAGGGAGAGCGAAAGAGGAGGAUGAGUAUUAGGAGGAAGAAAGACAAGGAUCUCCGUUUUAGAGAGAUUGAGUUUCAGAAAGCGGGAGGACAUCCAGUCAGAGAUGGAAGAAUGGCAAGCAGUGACACGUUGCAGUACGGCAGGAGAGAGGUCUGGGGAGGAGAGAUAUAUCUGGGUGUCAUCAGCGUACAGGUGGUAAUGGAAUCCAAAAGAGGUAAUACGUUUGCCAAUUGAGGCAUUAUAAAGAGAAAAUAGAAGGGGACCAAGGACAGAGCCUUGGGGGACUCCAACCGAGACAGGACGAGGGGAGGAGGUAUCAUUAGAAAAAGAGACACUGAAUGAGCAUUAGGUCACAGAGACCGAGUGAUUGAAGAGUUUAAAGAAGGAGAGCAUAAUCAACGGUAUCAAAGACAGCAGAGAGGUCAAGAAGAAUUAGUAUUGAGUAGUGGCCUUUGGAUUUAGCUGCAAUUAGGUAGUUAGUAACUUUGAUAAGCACAGUCUCAGUAGUGUGGAGAGGGCGGAAAUCAGAUUGAAGAGGGUCAAGGAGAGAGUUGGAAUUGAGGAAGUGAGACACACGGGUAAGACAAGUCUUUCCAGAAGCUUUGAGGAAAAAGGGAGCAGGAUGAUAGUUAGAGGGGGAGGACGGGUCAAGAGAUGUUUUUUUUUUCAGGAGAGGUACUACAGUGGCAUGUUUAAGGUCAGCAGGGACAAUGCCAGAAGAGAGAGAGCAGUUGAAGAUGUGCGUUAAGGAAGGCACAAGACAAGUAGAGAGAGAUCUGAUAAGGUGAGAUGGGACAGGAUCGAGCAGGCAAGUGGUGGGGUGAGAGGAAAGGAGAAGUGCAGCCACCUCUUGUUCAGUAGCCAGGGAAAAAAGUCAACCACACAUAUACGAGUGGUUGAGAAAGAGAAUGGCAAGGAGGGGAGAAUUCUUUCCUUAGCUGUUCAAUCCUGUUGGUAAAGUAACAUGCAAAGCUAUCGGCAGUUAGUUUGGGGGGUGGCCACAGCAGGGUGAAGAAGAGAAUUAAAGGUGUCAAAGAGACUCCUGGGAUUGCGGGAGCAUGAACUAAUGAGAGAGGAAAAGUAUGACUGUUUGGCGAGGGAAAGAACUGUGCUAUAUGAAUACAAUAUGAAUCUAUAAUGGAGAAAGUCUGACUGGGUGCGAGACUUCCUCCAGGAGCGUUCAGCACAACGGGAGCAUCUUUGCAGGUAGCGUGUUGAUAUAGUAUGCCACAGUUGGGGGCGUGUCCUCCUUGAGGUGCUUGUUGGGAGCAGGGCUGCAGCGUUCAGGGCAGAGGUGAGGGUAGUGUUAUAUGUGGAUAUGGCCUGUGAGGGACAGAAGAGAGAAGGGAUGGAUAGCAGUUGUGAAUCAACAUCAGCUGACAGCUGCUGGAGGUCAAUAGAAUUAAGGUUAGGCUGAGGUUGUUGGGUGAGAGUAAAUGAUAAGAGGUGGUGACUAGAGAGAGGAAAUGGAGUGUUGCAGAUAGUAGAUACUGUACAUGCAUAAGAGAAGAUGAGGUCGAGUGUAUUGCCAGCUACAUGGGUGGGAGAAUUAGCCCACUGCGAUAGCCUGAGGGAGUAAGUAAUUGAAAGUAGUUUAGAGGCUGCUGAGGCCAAAAGCGGGUUAAUGGGAAUAUUGAAGUCCCCAAGAAUUAGGGAUGGAAUAUUAGAACAGAGGAAAUAGGGUAGCCUGGCAGCAAACUGGUCAAGGAAGAGGAGAGGGAAACCAGGGGGACGAUAAAUAACGGCAAUGUUAGCAGAGAAGGGUUUGAAAAGGUGAAUCAAAUGAUAGGAAAGAGAUGGAAGGGGGGGUGGGUAGAGGUUUGAAGGUGCAGUGAGGAGAGUGUAGAAACCCUACACCACCACCUUUACAUUCAGAGUGUCUUGGGCUGUGGGUAAGUUGAAGACCACCAAAGGACAAAGAUGAAGGGGUAGCAGUGUCAGAGGGUGGGAGCCAUGUUUCUGUUAAGGCUAGUAAAUUUACUCCACGAGAGGUACUGUACAGCAGUGGAUUUUGUAAUAUUGCAAACAGAGCGUGCAUUCCAGAGGGCAGCAUUGAAGGAGGAUUUAGAGGAAGAGUAACAUGAGAUGGGUAUGAGAUUGGUGUGGUUCCUUGAGUUAGUACGUGGUGAGUUUGCCGAGAUGGAACUGGGGUUUGGAGAGACAUCACCAGCUGCUAGGAGCAGAAGGAUAGAAAGGAAGUGAAGGUGGGAGUAGAAUUUGAAUGUUUUGUAGGAAGGUAUGUAUAUAGAGGAUUAGGGAGGAGAUGGAGCAGAUAGGCCGGAAAGGUAUAUGUAGAGUGCAUGGGAUGAAUAAAGAGGGGAUGGGAGUAUGAGAAGUUAGUGUGAAAGUGAAAAAUAGAAGGGAGAACAUUAUUUAGAGAAAAUGUGUUUUGUUAAAUAGAUUUGAAGAUUAUACAUAUGCACAUAUAUAUGCCCAUAUACCUAUGAGUGUUUAAACCAUGGUUAAGGAUGCAGUUUCUUAACAGAGGGAUUUCAUGGUGAGGAGAGGUUUAGUGACUUGAUUGGUGUUAUGGAAACCAUCUGAUCUGCACUAUCUAUAAGUAUGGUAAUGACCAUGGGGUGGGCAGCCUUCCAGAGAUGAUACCUCUGCUUAGAAGAUUCUGCAGGGCUUGGUUGGUUGUGAGUGCUGGGUGUUAAUCAAUGCUGUUUUUAGGGGUCCAGUCUGAAAUAUAAGGUCUGGCAUUAGAAAAAAAAAGAAAUAAACACACCAUUAUGGGUGGGGAAACAUUGGGAUAUUGAGGUAAUUAGAGAUGAAAAACCAGAGGAGAGAAUAUUUGGGAUAAAAAGAUAUGAAGGAUCAGAUAGGUGAAAGUCAUAAACCGUGAAUAUAAAUUUACAAGAUUAUCAGUGAAAGAAGUAACACUAGCUAAACAAACAAUUAAAAAAAAGUCAUAGAGAAUGAACAUAAAUUGACAUGACCAUACCAACUUUGAAAAAACGAAGAUCAGGAUGGGAGAUAUAAUAGUUAUCAAUUAAGUAGUGAGAGUAUAUGGAGGGAGGUGGAACAGAACACAAUUUUAAAUUUACAGCAUUAAACUCGCACCCUUUGCAGUAACACACCCCAUAUUCACAGCAAUAACCCCAUACAGUGUUAUAUAAUUAACUCCAAAAUAUGAUCUAUUAAAGUGACAAUGUCAUAAGCUAAGUUAUUUCUCUCUCAGUAUUAGAGGGUGACAACGGAAGAGUGCCAAAAUCACAUCUCACCCAUCUCUAGUAAUAUCCCUGGUACUGAUAUAAUUUGACUCAAGGAUAAAUAUAAAUCUGGUUAUCUUUUAUAUAUCCCUGAUACACAUUAAGGAAACUUAAGGAGUCACCACUUUUCUCACAAAGGAGUUUAUUUAAUAAAGUCUGAAUUCUAGAGAACUGAAAUCCUUCCCCAUAUUUUCUGUCAGUUUAGAUCACAUAUUACUCCUACCUGGAAGCAGAGUGUCAGUAAAAUUAUCCUUCAUUGUGGCAUUCUUGAGGUAGCAGGCUGAAUUCCAGUCCCAUUGCCAUGAUAUCCUUCUGACCUUUAUUAAUAUCAUGGUGAGGCAGUUAUAGGUAAGGUGAAGCCGCUGCCAAAAUUGCUAUGUUUAUGAGAAACUGCUAUGUUUAUGAACUGCUAUGUUUAUGAAUGGGUUAAGCAGAAUGAGAAACUGCUAUGUUUAUUAAUGGGUUAAGCCUUCCCCCUAAUCCUCUAGUGGCUGUCUCAUUGACAGCCACUAGAGGCGCUUGCGUGCUUCUCACUGUGAUUUUCACAGUGAGAGCACGCCAGCGUCCAUAGGAAAGCAUUAUGAAUGCUUUCCUAUGUGACCGGCUGAAUGCGCGCGCAGCUCUUGCCGCGCGUGCGCAUUCAGCCCAGAAGGAGGAACGGAGGAGGAUCGGAGGAGGAGAGUUCCCCGCCCAGCGCUGGAAAAAGGUACGUUUAAACCCCUUUCCCCCUUCCAGAGCUGGGCGGGAGGGGGUCCCUGAAGGUGGGGGCACCCUCAGGGCACUAUAGUGCCAGGAAAACGAGUAUGUUUUCCUGGCACUAUAGUGGUCCUUUAAGCUACAGAUCCUGCAGUAUGCCUACUUGCACAUUAGUUUUGUUGGGCAGCAACACUCGCUUUGACUUGUUGCCUAGAUAUUUCUCUGAGCUGCCUGCUAAAUGCACCAACUCUGCAGCCGCACCACCCCGUGUCAAGCAGCCCACUGAGAAAUCUCGUACUAUGUCAAUGGGCCACUGCGGCCCUGAAUAUUUCAGAGGCACACGUACAUUUUUCUUUUUUAUCCUUGUUAGCAACUUAUAAAUGUUACUUACACUUACUAGAGCAAUGGUCCUUCAGGGAGAUCAUGCCAAACUAAUCUUAUUGAUUUUUUUGAUUGGGUAACUAAAAUAAUAGAUCAGGGUGGUGCAGUAGACAUUGCUUACCUAGAUUUCAGUAAGGCUUUUGACACUGUUGCACAUAGAAGGCUUAUCAAUAAAUUGCAAUCUUUCAGUUUGGAUUCCAAUAUUGUUGAAUGGGUAAGGCAGUGGCUGAGUGACAGGCAACAGAGGGUUGUAGUCAGUGGAGUAUAUUCAAAGCUUGGGCUUGUCACCAGUGCGGUACCUCAGGGAUCUGUACUUGGACCCAUUCUCUUUAAUAUUUUUAUUAGUGAUAUUACAGAAGGUCUUGAUGGUAAGGUAUGUCUUUUUGCUGGUGAUACUAAGAUAUGUAACAGGGUUGAUGUUCCAGAAGGGAUAAGCCAAAUGGCAAAUGAUUUAGGUAAACUAGAAAAAUGGUCAGAGUUGUGGCAACUGACAUUUAAUGUGGAUAAGUGCAAGAUAAUGCAUCUCUUGGACGUAAAAACCCAAGGGCAGAGUACAGAAUAUUUGAGAAUCCUAACCUCAACAUCUGAGGAAAGGGAUUUAGGGGUAAUUAUUUCUGAUGACUUAAAGUUAGGCAGACAAUGUAAUAGAGAAUCAGGAAAUGCUAGCACAAUGCUUGGUUGUAUAGGGAGAGGUAUUAGCAGUAGAAAGAGGGAAGUGCUUAUGCCAUUGUACAGAACACUGGUGAGACCUCACUUGGAGUAUUGUACGCAGUAUUGGAGACCAUAUCUUCAGAAGGAUAUUGAUACUUUAGAGAGAGUUCAGAGAAGGGCUACUAAACUGGUUCAUGGAUUGCAGGAUAAAACUUACAAGGAAGGGUUAAAGGAUCUUAACAUGUAUAGCUUGGAGGAAAGAAGAGACAGGGGGGAUAUGAUAGAAACAUUUAAAUACAUAAAGGGAAUCAACACAGUAAAGGAGGAGACUAUAUUUAAAAGAAGAAAACUACCACAACAAGAGGACAUAGUCUUAAAUUAGAGGGACAAAGGUUUAAAAAUAAUAUCAGGAAGUAUUACUUUACUGAGAGGGUAGUGGAUGCAUGGAAUAGCCUUCCAGCUGAAGUGGUAGAGGUUAACACAGUAAAGGAGUUUAAGCAUGCGUGGGAUAGGCAUAAGGACAUCCUAACUAUAAGAUAUGGCCAGGGACUAAUGAAAGUAUUUAGAAAAUUGGGCAGACUAGAUGGGCUGAAUGGUUCUUAUUUGCCAUCACUUAGUGUUGAACUCUUCUUUUGUUGGGUUUAGGAGGGACAUGAGGGGUUUGGAUAGUGGUGCUAGCUUCUGCAUUAUAUGUAGUGCAUUAUGUGUGUUUGUUGUUCUGGUUCGUGAGUCACUUGUCUUUGUCUGGGUAUGUGCUGCUUUCUAUUAGUGUGAUGGGGUUAUUCCAGUGUUGGACUGAGUUUGAGAUGAUAAGGGGUGUAUGUAGAGUGUUGAGUUCUUGUGGGGAUAUGGGGUACGGUGUUGUGUUAGCAGUGUGGUGGGAGUGGGACGGGUGUUCUGGUGGGAUAGGGUGUGGGGGGGGGGAAGGGCGGGUAGAGGUGACUGGUAUCCCAGUGUGUGCAGGUAUUUUUACUGUUGGGGUGGGGAUAGGUUGGUACUGGGUGAGCCAGGGUUAUUUCUGCCCUCGUCGUUCCUAGAUCUGGGUGUUAAUAGUAGGAAUUUGUAGAGCCAUGGUUCCCAUAUUUUGUUGAAGGCUGUGGUGGAGUCAUGUAUUAAUGCGGAUAGUUUGUCCAUUUUCCUGGUUUCCUCUACUUUGCGUAUUACUGAUUGCAGGUUUACUCCAUGCUUCCGCUAUGGCUCUCCUCGUUGCUAGGGCGAUUUUAGCUAUUAGUUUAUUGUGACACCUGGGUGUGUUUUCUAGCGGUUUGAAGAGGAGCCAUGUCCAGGGAUUUAAUGGGAUAGUGGUGUGUAGUAUUUUGGAUGUUAGUUGUGUAAUUUGUUGCCAUAAUGAGGAGAUUUGGGUACACUCCCACCAUACAUGGAGGUAUGUGCCUUUUCCCCCACACUGUUUCCAGCACAGGUCAGUGGCCGAAACGCCCAUUUGUUUGAGUCGGAGGGGGGUGAGAUAUCAGCGCAUUAGUGUCUUGUAUGCUUGCUCCUAAUGAUUUACAGAUAUGGAGACUGAGGCUAUGGCUUCCCAUAUCUCUUUCCAGUCGGAGGGGUGAUCUGGUGGCCCCAAGUCCCUCUCCAAAGCCGACACGUAUGUGAGGGAGCCUUCUGUGAAGGUUGUGAUUACCUGUGUGUAGAGAGUGGAUAUCUGGCCUUUUUGGAUUGGGAGUUUCAUGCAGGAUUUUUCGAAUGUGGUAAGAGUCGUGGUGCUCACUUUUUUGUUUGUUGGAGUAUUAAGGAAGCUUCGGAUUUGGAUAUAGUGAAAGUGGUCGAAGGUGGUGAGCGGCGUUUGUUGGGGUAGGUCAUUUUGGUAGAAUUGGUAGAAGCGGAGGAGGUUGUUGUCCUCAAGCCUGGAAAAGUGUUGGGGCGUCAUGCCCGGGGUGAAUUGCGUAUUGCGUAGGAUUGGUGUGAGGGGCAAUGGAGUUGAGGUUAAUGAAUUUUUGUGUGCUAUCUUAUCCCAGAUUCUGAUGGUGUUUGUUAAUGCGGGUGUGGUGAUGGGUGUUUGUGGUCUAGCUUGUUUGGGUAGCCAAAUAUAGAGGGAUGGGAAGUCCCUUCCAAAUAUGGUAUGUUCCAGGUCUACCCAUCUCUUGAUGCCGUAUGGGCCAUGUAAGUUUUGUACUUGAGCUAAUUGCGCGGCGUGGUAGUAGUGCAUAUAAUGGGGGAGGCCUAGGCCUCCUGCUCUAUUCGGUAUGUAGAGUGUCCUUCAUUUGAUCCUGGCUUUUUUGUUGGCCCAUAUGAAGUGGUCAGUUUGGGAUUGUAAGGUUUUGAAGUCGGUGACCGUGAGUGGCAUGGGUAGAGCCUGAAAGAGAGAGAGGAAUCUGGGAAGUAGAUUCAUCUUAACUGACGUUAAUCUGCCUAGCCAUGAUAUUGAGAGGCCGGCCCAUGACUGUAGGUCUUGAGCCGCUUGUUGUAAUAGCAGUGUGUAGUUGCCUUUGUAUGUUUGUGUGAGGUCUUUUGGAAUGUGUGUCCCUAGGUAAUUUAUUUCCGUGUUUGUGAGAUCGAAUGGGUUCGCCUGGCUUUGCAGUUGUUGUGGGUCUAUAUGGAUUGCAACGGUUUCUGUUUUUUCAAUGUUAAAUUUUUAGCCUGAAAUGGUCGCAUAGUCCUGUAUGGCUUGGAGUAAUGGGGGCAGUGAGUUAAUUGGGACUGUGAUAGUCAAGAAGAUGUCGUCUGCGUAGGCUGCGGCUUUAUAUUCUUCAGUUUGGAUUUUGAGCUCUGCAAUAACUUUUUGUCUGAUGUCUGUAGGAGGGGUUCCAGUGAGAGGGCGAAAAGGAUAGGGGAUAGUGGGCAGCCUUGCCUUGUGCCGUUAUGAAUGGUGAAUGGGUGGGUUAGUGGGAGUAGUAGACUGGCUGUGGGGGAGGUGUAAAGUGAUCCGAGUGCGUUUAGGAAAGGCUGUGGGAAGUUAAAUUUGUGUAGGGUUGCGAACAGGAACGGCCAGAGCAGGCGGUCAGAACGACUGGAGCCAUUUGUAGUCGUCUGGUGGAUGGGAAGGGGGUUUUCAGUUAGAGGCCCUGGUAUGCCUCUGAGUGGGUCACAGGUAAUAACAGCGGGGACACGGCCGCUAUGCAGCGGUUGUGGGGUGGACCGUUUUUGUGGUCCGGUUGGAUUGGGUUACGGGUGGUAUGACCGGGCCUUAGGGUGUUGGGUGAGUUUUGUAGAGGUACCUUCAGUGGGUAUAAAACCCGUGGUUACUAACAUGUUGGAACAGCCGUUCCAUGGUUGAGUUUGGAUAUUACUGGCCGUUUUCUGGUCUGUUGGCGGGGUGGAAAUCGUCGGUCAGUCGAGGUGGAUGAAGCUUGCUGAUCGGGGUCCAUGGUGUCCAUCUCGGGUGGCAGCUUUAUUCCCAAAGAGUUAGCGAAGUCUACCAUGCCGGUGGUUUGGAAUAGCGUGUGGGCAGGGCCGGCGCUACCUGUAAGGCGGACUAGGCAGCCGCCCACGUGUAUCUCCAUCCGUGCUGUACCAGGGCCGUAGUGAGCAGUUUGAGUUCCCUGCGCUUCCUUAGCAUUGAUUGUGCCAGGUCUUGGAAAAAUUGUAUCGGCUGCCCGCGAAUUUGGGGGGCUGUGCUCUGGCCAGGCUGACGGGGUGCUCUUUGGUAGCAAAGUUCAACAUUUUCAGGAUCACGUCCCUCGGAGCUGCUGGAUGCAAUAGUGAAGGUCGCAGCGUUCUGUGGGCCCGUUCAAUAGUGAGCUCGUGGUCGGGGGCAUCGGGCAGCAUGGAUUUGAAUAAGUCCCGCAGGGUGGUGUGUAGGGAUUCUGUUGUAAUGGAUUCCUGGAGGCCUCUGAGCCGGAUGUUAUUUCAGCAGGAACGGUUAUUGAGGUCCUCCAUCCCGUCCUCCAGUUGCCAGAUUUUGUCAUGGAGCUUGGUAAGUUCGUUGUCAUGUAGUUGUGAUCUUUUGGUGAUUUCUGUGAGGUGGGUUUCGGUCUGCCCCAUUCGGGUAGCAAGGGCGUCGAUUUUGGUGCGCAGGCCCAUGAGGUGCUUUUGCUCUGCGGACGUGUAGGCCUUGAUGUCGCUUGUAGCUUCCUGGAGGAGUUGGCGGAGGUCCCGUUUGGUUAGCGGAGUGUCUGGGUUGGUGUAUACCUCAUUGUCUUCAGAGUGCUUUAUUAGUUUUAAUUCCCACUUUUAAUGCUGACCCACAUUAAACAAAUUCAUUUUGAGAAUUGCAUUUUACCUGUUAACAGCCAUGCCGGCAGUUGGGCCAGUAAAUAAAUAAAGCAUGCAGAAAAAUGAGUAUUUUACUUUUUUAACCUACUUUUUUUUCAAAAUUUGUUAACAGAUAAAUACACAAAAGGCACGGAAUAUAAGAAGUUAGAACAGGUUAUACUGAACUGUAAUCAGCACAAAUGUAAUCAUGUGUAAAGACACAGAUUCUUUUAAAACAAAAUAAAAACACUACAAUUCACAUGGACAUUUCUCAGAAGCAAAAAGCAUAUAAAAGUAUUUUAAAGAACCCACAUUAUCUCCUACAGCUAAAAAGUUGUGUAUAUAUAAAGCAAUGUUCCAUAGACUGCUCUUAUACUGCGUGGUGAUCAUAGUAUACACUUCUAAUCCACAGUCAAGAGAAAUUAGCAUUUAUCCUCCUCUUAGUGAUACCUCAUGACCAUCAGGCAGACAGCCAAGAUAGUUUCCUCCCUUACUUGCAUUGAACUGUAGUUCAAAGAGAAAGUGAGUAUUUCCCACAGAUAAACAUUAUUUUCAAUACCCAAUUGUUCUUUGUGUCCCAAUGCUUCUAUAUGAGCAGUUUGGACACAAUUCAUCAGUAAUGAUGACUGCAUAGGAAGCAGCUCAAAGCUGAAGUGAUGACUCCUCUUGGAGCUAUAAUAAAGGUGAGUUUGAUUCUUUAAAUGCCAAAAUUGGGUCCGGGAGUAAAUAAACAUACCUGUCCAUCCAUAUUUCGCUGGGUACGAAAUUAGCGCUGUCAGAUUAGUAGAUGAGUUAAAGAUGAAUUGUACAUUUUCAACGUAGUGCCUAAAUUAAAUAGUAGUCUGCCAACUCUACUGGAAGUUUAUAAUUAAAUACAAUUUUAUAUCGCUACAAGAACUGGCAUUCGGCACCUCUAACACAACCAGUCGAUAUUUAACCUUAUUUAAAAAGAAAAGAAAAGCUGCACACUGAUCCCACAAAGAGGUUUAUAUUUACGAUUUUAUAACUAUCCACCCACCAACUAUUCUGUUAAUGAUUUAUGCAGUUCUUUCCACAUAGUGUUUAUGAAAUGGGUAUUAAAUCAGGGCAGCAAAACUAAAGCCAUGUUUUUUUUUUUUUCAAUUACAUAAUUACGUGCUGAUCCUUUAACCCUUUCUUGUACCUCUACACAUGCGGCUAGAAAAUACCUCCAUUUAGUGGGAGAAUAACACUACAUGGACAAAAUACUAAGACCGUUAUUAAAGACUUUUAAAAGUGCUCACUUUAAAUGUCAUUUGAGCAACAGUCAUUCUGUUUAAUGCACACUUAAAAUGAAAUGCUAUCUGUUUAUGAAUGUUCAAGAUAAAACCUAAUUGAAGUAUUUUUUAUAACUUUUAUCAUAAGAUACACACAAGCCUGAAUUCCGUAUUUUUCCAGCUUGCUAGUCUUCAUCUUGUAAACCAUUGGACAGAACCCAAAAUUGGGUCCGCAUGCCAUUUUAAUAGUUUCCAUAGUUUUCAAGGCUCCCUUAAUAUUCAGUAUUUUUCCAAGGCACCCCAAGUCCAAAUUUCUAAGUUGUAUAUCUGUACAGCGCUGCCGCAUUUACUCACGCUAUAGUGUAAUGUACAGUGUUGGUGUUUGAAGGGGUGCUUGUAUACAUUUAUUGUGUUUUAAUACAGGGAUGUGUUUGUAUGUGAUGUUUGCAUUUGAUUGCAGGGGUAGGUCUGAAUGUAAUGUUGACUUUUAAAUGUGGAUGUACAUAUGUGAGUAUUUGUGUGUGUAUAUAUAUAUAUUUUUUUUAUUUUUUUUUAAUGCAGGGUUGUGUUUGUGUGUAAUAUUUGUGUUAGAUUAUAGGAGUGUGCUUGUAUGUUGUGCUGGUUUUUGACUGCUUGGAUGUAUGCACAUACAUACAUACAGAAACCUCUUUCCAGUUUGACAGGAAGCAGUUCCAAACUCCCUGUGUGUACUUCCUGUCAGAGCUAGGUAGAGGAUACUGAAGCUCCUCUCCAACGGUCCGCUGGUCGGCCACACUAUACAGAAGUGACUUGCUUGAGAGGAGCACUCUGUCGGUCAGCAGGAUCGUGCGCCCCCAUGGCCAGUGUGUGCCCUAAGCUGGCAACCUGUGCCUCCAUGUGGUAGCAACUGCCCUGUAGUUGUUCUGGUGACUAUAGUGUCCCCUUAAGCCUGGUGGUUUUCCUGCACAGUGUGAAAAGUGAAGAGACAGUGACUGACCGCUCUCAGCCAGCUCCAUGCUUUGAAUACAUUCCUACACUUUCUCCCAUGCAGUCUCUGAGUAUCCCCUGGCCAAAUGCGUUGAAACCCUUCCUCCAUCACUCUCUCCCUGCAGAUAGCUCUGUACUGCAGUCUCAUCCAGGCAUGAACUGAAAGCACUGUCCAGGUAGAACUUUGUCUGAUACUCUGCAUAUAGAAAUUGAAAUACACUGUAAAGUAGUGACCACAAAUAUUAAUGUUUUAUAUUUAGCUCUGCAGUUUUUGCUGACUACAUUUGCCAUGAGACUUAGGCAUUCAGCUGGCUAAGUGUCUUGAGAAAUAUAAUGUAUUUGAACUGGCAUGUUACUAGUACGGCAUAAGGGUCAAAAAGCAUAAAAAGACAAUUUUAUUUUAAAAUAAAAUAAUACAGUAUAUAAAAAAGCAAAUUGGCCAUUAAGUGUUACUGUAAGUAAUAACCUUAAUAUAAUAUUGAUAGGAUAUGGGUACUCGCACAUUAAAGUAAAAGUGUAGGUGCAAGAUUGGGAGCAAAGUUUAUAGAUAGAGGUGGGAUAAAAUUACUGGGGUGCAGUCUUGUGCCCCACCAUCUAAGAACUUCACCAGCCAUGUUGUUGUGUCCUGUUGUGUAUGGGUAGUGGCUAGAACCCAGAAAGCUCAGAAUCUACUAUUUUGCCAAUUCAAAUCAUUAACAUGCGUUCCAGUGCAUUAAACACUUGCACACAGUCCAGUUCUUCAUGCCAUAUAAUAACCUACCCAUACCUCCACUCUUGAAUGAGCUUGCCUGCUUCAUUAAAACCUGUGAGACAAGGAAGGAACCCUGUUAGCAGCCCAAAACACUUGUAGAUACAACUGUAGAACAUUGACCAUUGAGAAAGGAGAAUGCAAUUUAUUUCUGUGGUUUUUUUUUUGUCUUAAAGGAUCACUAUAGUGUCAGGAAAACAAAGCAGUUUUCCUGACACUAUAGUGCCCUGAGGGUUAAAACCCCUUCAGCAGCUUACCUUAAUCCAGCGCCGGGCUCCCUCGGCGUUGGUGACGUCAGCUCGCCCGUCUGACGUCAGCGGACACUAUGCGCGAUGGAGGCGAAAUGUGCCUCCAGUGUCGCAGAUGCGCCUCUAGUGGCUGUCCGGAAGACAGCCACUAGAGGCUGGAUUAACCCCAAAUGUAAACAUAGCAGUUUCUCUGAAACUGCUAUGUUUGCAUCUGAAGGGUUAAAACCUGGGGGACCUGGGGCGGGGCCGGACCGCCGAGCUGGAUGGUCGCAUGUUCACUCAGCUCCUGCGAGUUACCAAACUUUAACCUCUAAAACCAUGCUUUUAAAACCUCCAUAACGACCACCAACAACAGGAUACAGGAAACUGGAUCCAGGGUGAGGCUGGCUUCUCAAGCUGCAGUCCCCUGGAGGAGAGGGCCUUGAUGUCCCGAUUGGGGCCUACUCCGGCGGUGAGUGGGGCGGACGGCCGCUGCUCCACUAUCCCGAUUCACAGAGCCCAGCCAAAGGCCCAAAGCCGUGUGGACCGGACCCUGUUCCCCCACCCCUGUGGACCGGUAGGGGUGAUCCCGGUCCUUACCCCGAGGAUCAGAUCGCUGCAACAGGGCACAAGCCCAACAACACUACCACCAUGCAGCAAAGCCCGGGAGCCUCAAUUAAAAUGACGGAUGCCAUGUGGGCCGAAGCUAGAGAGACAAAAAACUCUCCCCCCGAGCCUGCAGCAAACAACAUAGCCUCCAGGCACAUUCUGAUCUGAAGCAUGCCACUGCAAAAUACAAGUACCCACCAUGAUGCCCAGACAAGACGCCUCCCCAGCCAGUUGCAACGCAAGAACGUGGCUCCACAACAUGUGCAAGCCCAAAGCGGAAGGGUGGACUGGAGGCACAGCGAGCCAGACAGCUCAACACAGCAAAAGCCACUGACACCCAGCAAACGCCAACUUACUCUCCGGUUACAACAGGAAGCAGGUCUCUCGAACAAGGUACACCACUAUGCUCCUGGGAUCACAGGGGCCGACAAAGCCCCCAACGACAUACUCUCAAAGAUAGACAGACAUUUCUCUAACCUCUGGCGGAAGCUAGAGCGCCUCAUACUCCAGCCCGCUCUGCCACACUGCCUACCUACCCAAGCGCUCCCCACUCAAGCACACAUCACCUGCGACACGAAAACUAACGGGGCGGCGGAAUAGGAGACGCACAGUGCCGAGCCUCAAAAUGGCGUUGAAGAAUCAUCCAAGCGCACACAAGCAAGACCGCAACUGCAACCAGGAGAGCCGAGCAGCAAUAUACACAAGACACGAGCCCCAACUCACCGGAUCACAUCGUCUCAAGCUGACAUGGAGUGCAACUCCUCACUCUGGGACUACGUGGUACCCCCUGCUGGCAUAGGCUGGGAGAGGUAAACCCUAGGAUACACACAGCAGCCGUAGUGUUAUGUGCAGUCAUUUAAUAUUUAUACCAAUGUACCCAACAUAGAGGAACCUUACGUAGUAGCCUCUUUGCCCACUGGCCCACACCAUGGGGCUCCUACCAGAAGUAAUAAGCCUGUCAUGCAUCUCAGGAUUUUCUUUUCCUAGUAUUGCUACAUAUACUGCUUGCAUGUUUAUUCUGCUCUUGCCUUACUUCUUACUAAUUAUUUUGUAAAUUAUAAACUCGGGGGCAAGCUCAAAGGAAACCCUGCUCGCUCAGAAAUACAGCUACUUUAUAUUUCUUUAUGUGAGCCUUAAAAAAGCGAGUAUGAGCGCCAAGCUUAGUUUAACUACCCAAUAACCGCACUCGUCACUGGCACCUUGAGAUAGUACAUCACGUAUCCCCUCUGCCUCUCACCUAACUAGUCACCAUAGUUUACAGGUGCACACCGGCUUGACACUAGCUGACUAACUAUGCCUGUUAACUUUUACUUGAUGCAUAUGCACAGGGAGGCUUCACACCUUACUUUGAUGUAGCAUAUAUGCCUAACUUUGCACAGGGGUAAGCAACCUUUUAGCAGCACUGUGCCGAUAUAGGAUUGUGAUGUCCCGUAGCGUGCCGAUCCUAUUUUUUUAAAUUGAGGUGUGUAUGCUGCCAUAUACUGCUUGUGUUAUUUUUACUGUAAUUGCUUUGUAUUGUUGUAUUUGUGCGUAUAUAAGCUAUUAUAGUGUAUAUGUUCAUUAGUAGUUUAUGGUAUUGUGUAUGAUACACAUGAAUGUGGGCGGUGUAUGAGGGCUGCUUGUGGAAUUGUGUGUGGGUGGAUAUGUCACAUUGUGUGUUUGGUAGUGUGUGUAUGUGUGGGGGCUGUUUGGGGUAUUGCAUGUGGGAUUGUGUGCAUGUAUGUGGAUUGUUAGUGGUGUUGCGUUUGUGGGGAUUGUGUGUAUGUUUGUGUGUGGGCUGUUCGUAUUAUUUGUAUGAGGGGAGGGUUAUUCUGCAGCUCUGUGUAUAUCUAGAAGUGUGAGUGGCUUCCCUGGGUUCCAGUGGGGACCAGGCUGGCCAGGUACAGGUCAAGGACAGGAGCUGCAACAGCAGCUGUGGGCUGCUCUACUACAGUGUGGAUUCCCAUUCACAAGUGCUUGGAGGAAGUGAUCUGAGAUCACUUACUCUACAUUCUGCAAUGCAUAAAUUGAGGAUUGUCCUUCACCACCUUUUCGUAUUAGCAGAUAUCUGAAGUUUCACUGAGACUCCUGAUAGGCCAGAGCCUGUUUGGCUCUACCAGCCUUGAGUGCCGUGGAAAGACACCUCGAGUGCCAUGCAUGGCACUAGUGCCGUAGGUUGCCUACCCCUGAUCUAGCAUGUACACACUCAUAUAGACUACAAGAUCAAGGCCUACCUAGCAUGUUAUUAUCUCUUUUGUUCUGACGUUUAUAAAAAUUAUAAUUUUUCUAUUUGUUAGUUUACUAACUCCUUCGUCUAGCAUCUCUCAUGAACCUGCUCAUGCUCACUCAACCUAGACAUCCCUGACUAAUAUGUUAGAAACUGCAUUUAACAUUAAAAAAUGUGCAAGAAAUCGAAAUGCCAUGACGAUGUCAAUAUAUGUAUACUGCAUGUGUUUGGUCUGCUGUUGUGGCGUGACAAGCCUGUUAUGUUCAUUAUUUGCACAAUAAAAUACAGAAUUAAAAAAAAAAAAAACCUGGGGGACCUGCCACCCAGACCACCUCAUUGAGCUGAAGUGGUCUGGGUGACUAUAGUGUCCCUUUAACUGAACAAACACUGAUGGGUGGAAGCUUUCAUCAUAAACGAUGCCCUUAUGUCCUGGACUGAUCCUGGUUUUCUACCCAUGUAUUUGCCAAAACCACACGCAUCACUAAUAUUUACUAUACAUUAAGACAUCAACAAUAGCUACAGUAUCCAUGCAUUCCUCCAGUAUGCUUACUGUUUAUUCUUCCCAUUCUCUCCUAUUUCCCCCUACCCUUUUUAACCUUUCUCUUUCCUUUUUUUGUAGUGCCAUUUGCAUUAGUCCUCAGUUUUUCAGUUUUGAGAGGGGUUUCUCUAGUCUCUAAUUUGAUUGAUUACUUUUGCCUGUGUUAGUUGUUAAUUUUUUAAACUGCAUUUAUAUUUUUAACACAACUUUAUUUUAAGGACCUAUUGUAUUUCUUCUUUGUUAUAUUGCUUUAGUAACCAUUGUACUUUUUCCAAAAGCCACAAACAAUUGAAAUGUGAAGGAAAAAAACAAAACAAAAACAAUACAGUACAUAGUUUAUUUAUUUGUUUAAAUAUAUAAUGGUUAAAAUAUUGUUUACUGUUAAAAUACACUGAUUAAGGUUAGAUUUGAAUAGGUGCAAUAAAGGUUUCUCUUAGAGGCACUAUAACCACUGUAUGUUAAUGUUGUUGUUAAGGUGCAAUUAAGCUGUGGGUUUGCCUAAAACUAGGGGACCCGAGUCACCCGUGACCUUGCCCAAUUCUCUCUAUUGCUAAGAAGGAGGUUCCACUUUUCCAUUAGUAAUUUUAAUCUUGCCCAUAUUUGUAAGCCUUCCGUUGACUGAAUGGUUAAAAUUAAUAUUUCAAAAGCCAAGCAGGGGCUUUUCCCCUAGUUUUCGUAAAACCCUGCUUGAAAAACUUUGACCAGUUUGAGUUAUGGCACCCACAACCUAAUGGCACCAUAGCCACUAUACUAGCAUGUAGUAGCUAUGUUGCCUAUAUUGUCUCUUUAAGUUAAAGGAACACUGUAGUCACCAAACCAACUUUAGCUUAAUGAAGCAGUUUUUGUGUAUAAAUAAUGUAUCUGAAGGUACACUGCUCAAUUCUUUGCAAUUUAGGAGUUAAAUCAGUAUGCAGUCUAUAAAGCAACUUACUUUAAAAGUUUUAAUCUCCUACUCUUUAAAUUGAACUGUAAUCACAUACAAAAAGCUCAUGUAGGAUCUAGCGAGCUAUUAACAGAGUGUUCUCUUUGACUUCGACCUCUCCUUCACCCUUCAUGUCCAGUCGAUCGCUUGAUCGCUUAAUCCUGCCGCUUCCAUCUCAAAAACAUAGCUCGCAUCCGCCCCUAUUUAACACUAGACGUGACUAAGGUCCAUGCCAUUGUUCUUUCUCACCUUGAUUACUGCAAUCCCCUUCUCAGUGGUCUUGUGUGUUCCCAGAUUGCACCUGUCCGCCCGCACCUCCCACGCCUCCCCCAUCUGUCAGUCCCUAUACUGGCUUCCAGUUAGAUAUAGGGCUCAAUUUAAGAUUCUGGUGCUUGCUUACAAGUCCCUACAUAAUGCUGUUCCAACCUACCUAUCCUCCCUGAUACAUAAGUAUGAGGCCCCUACGCUCUGCCGAAGACCUACGUCUAUCCUCUGUCCGUACUCACACAUCUCAUUCUCCAGAGCUGCACCUUUUCUUGGAACUCCCUUCCCUUCUCUGUUAGACUUUCACCCAGUCUCCACUCCUUCAAAAAAUCUUUGAGAAAGCAUAUCAUACACUUCUUCAGGAAAGCAUACCAUUUAAACUGUUAGCGGGUUUUCAUUGCCCCCCCAUCCCCCAUGACUCCUCUCCUGCAACUGUCAAACAUUCUCCGUGAAUACCUUUCUAGCAACCUAUUUCAUUACCCCUACUUAUACUUUUUGUGUCACUAUAACCCUUUCCCUCUACCAUGUAAGCUCAUUAAGCAGGGCCCUUAACCCCUCUGUUCAUGUGCCUCCAUUUGUCUGGUUACAAUUACGUGUCUGUUAUUUCAUUGUACAGCACUACGGAAUCCCCGUACAAUCUGCUACAGGUUUUUUACUCACAUCCCUCCCCUCCCCCCCCCCACUUCCUCAGUGUGCUGGUCUCGCCGCAGCUGGCCCUGCCUUUGUGACUGCAAUCAUCAAUCUUGAUGAUCUCAGCCAAUCCAAUGAGGCUUUUGCGCAUGUGUGGCAAAAUGCCAUGCUGCGCCAAUCAGCAUCUCCUCAUAGAGAUGAAUUGAAUGAAUGCAUCUCUAUGGGGAACAUUUAGCACCUCCAUGCAGAGCGUGAAGAUGCUAAACGUAGGUGCUGCGUACUGUGCAGCACUGGCCUAGGAUGCACUCUAGAGGCCAUCUGAGUGACUUUCACUAGAAGCGUUACUACAAUGUAAAUACGGCCUUUUUCUCUGAAAAGACAGGGUUUAUAUUCAAAUGUGUGGAGAGACAGGUUAUAGACACGAGCACAACUACAUUAAGCUGUAGUGGUUCUGGUGACUAUAGUGUCCCUUUAAGAAUUGCAUUUUUUACAUUGAAAAACCUGGCUCCUAAAUUUUUUUUGCUGGCUCCUGGAUUCUAAGGAAAUUUGUCAAUCCCUAAUCUAUACAACAAAACUGCUUCAUUAAACUAAUAUUGUUUUGGGGACUAUAGUGUCCCUUUAAGCCUGUCAUGCACAUAUGGAGUAGUGCCACUUAAUAUAGAAUACAGUUUAACCCAUGCAAUAUGUUAGCCAAAUUUCUUCACAUCUAUUAAUUAAAUAUGUUUAUUUUAUUUAUGCUUUAAUAAUUUAGCUUCUGAUAUCUAAAUAAUCACCAUAUUAAUAUAUACUUUAACCCUGGAGGAUAGCUGCUGUGGGUGCUAAGUGCGUUAAUAGAAUUUUCUCUUAUUUUAUAGUUUGAUGUAGUGUGUGAAAAUGAUUGGAAGGGACCAUUGACUACAUCUUUGUUUUUUGCUGGUGUGCUUGUUGGAUCAUUUAUUUCCGGACAGCUGUCAGACAGGUAUUGCUACAUUUGGACAAGCCACCAUUUCUUGCAUAACAUCAUACCAGAAAUUAUGUUGAUGAGAUGAGAAAAUAUCCUGUGAUCCAUUUUUAGAAAUAUAAUUGAAUUGACACUCCUAUUUUUUUCUAUCCCUUUUUUCAUUAACUGUUCAAAGCUUUCUGAGCAAACGGAAAGAGAAUUACACCAUCAGAAACAAUAUUAACUAUUCUGACUGUUCAGACAACACAUAUAACACCUAUAUGUAUGCUCUCUCCUCACUCAUAUCCUAACUUUACCCCUGCUAAUGAACAUCCAACAACAUACUUCAUUUUCAUUUCAUUCUGUCCGGAAAAAGUCCAGUCAUUGUUAAUAUAACGGGAACGGUUUGCACAACAUCAAUGUAACCUGGCAGCCAAGAAGAGUAGACUGGAAUGCGCAUGCGUGAACAAUGACAACUUCACUGUAUUAGUCAGUGGGGGCGCUACACGCAUUGAGUGAGCAUGUGUACUUUGUGGCCAUCACAUUUAAAAUGACUGACCAAGUAGAGCAACGAAUCUGCAUCAGAUUUUGCUUUAAGCUUGAAUAUUCCUCUGCGGAUACUAUUUGGAUGAUUCAGAAGGCUUUCAGGGACGAUGCAAUGAGUGCAGCGCAAAUAAAAGUGUGGCACAAAUGUCAAAGAUGGUCGAGAAUCUGUUGACAGAUUUUUCGCCAUGCGACUUCUGGCUUUUCCCAAAACUUAAAUCACUUUUGAAAGGGAAGAGAUAUUAGACCGUCUGUGAGAUUCAGGUAAAUAUGACAAGGCAGUUCUUGGCGAUUACAACAAAGGAUUUUGUUUUUAACAGUAGAAGGGAUGCUGGGAGAGCUGUGUGAGGUCCCAAAUGGUGCCUACUAUAAAGGAGAUUGAGGCUUCAUUGUCAAUGUACAAUGUUUCUUGUAUCAUCUUCACUAAAUGUCUCUAUUUUUCAUAUUACAUGGCUGGAUACUUUGCGGACAGACAUCGUAUGUGAUAUUGCACAUACAUACACAUACUAUCUAUCCAAUCUAUUCUUCUCUAAUAGAUUAUUAUUUUUCCUUACAAUAAUGUCUAAAUCUGUCUGUUUUCCCUCUUUACCUCUUCUAAGGCUUCCACAACAUAUAUUAUCCCUUCUAAAAAGACAGUACAUAAACUCUAAAUUUCCCCAAAUCAGGCGAUGGCAAUAGUAGAAAAUAAUAGUGCUUUUUAUUUUCGGUAACUAUAAAAUAGAGACAGUAGCAGUGGAUUGUGACACUUUCUCUAAUUUGCAUGUCAGAAUUGUAUCCCAUAAAGAUGGCAUAAUUGUAAUAUAUGGCAUUGACUAUGGUAAUAAUGUCUAAAUGUGUCUGGUUUUUGCCCCUUGAAGAGCUGUCUUUUGCCUUCUAUUUUUCUCCCUCAUUACCCCUUAUACUGGCAACCUAAUAAUGUCCAUCUGUUUCCAAUGUCACCUGUUUGCAGAUCAUACUAUGAUCUUUCUCAUCUCGUCUUAGCUUUCAGCAUUUCCUAUAUGUCAAGAUGCUAAAUGCCCCUGUCUUCUCUUUAUGGAUGUCCCACUGUUGCCUUAAACUUAACUUCUCUAAAACUGAAUUCAUAAUCUUUUAUCACUUGGCUUCCUCAAAAUUACCCAGAUUCCACCUUAUAAAUACUAUACGACCACCCACCAUUUUAUUAUUCAGGAUACCAUCAAACUCCCAAUUUGUUCCCUCAUUAUUUUCUACCUUGACAACUGCUGUCUUAUUAGUAGCCAACAGCAAGAAGCUAUUACCAGGCACCUAAUCUUUACGCAUCAUUACUACAUGCGAUAAUGCACUUUGUAGUAAAAAUCUGUGAGCGUGCUGUAUUCUUUAAAUAAACCAUUGAUUAUUAAAUAAUCAGAACCUUCCUUCUUCUCGAUAUUCACAGACACCAAUACUAAGCAGUGGCACCCAUUUUGUUUUUGUUUUUCAAUUCUUUAAUUGUGUUUUUCAGGAGCCAUCUUAAAUCAUACAUUAGACAUGAAUUACAUUUAAACCGUUGUUACAAAUCUGAUGCACCCAUUUUAAAGCCAAUAAAUAACACCCACAAAUGUUCCGCAACAUAUAUUAUCCCUUCUAAAAUACAGUACAUGAACUCUGGUUUUCUCCAAAUCAGGCAAUGGCAAUAGUAGAGUAAGAUUGUGCAUUUAAUUCUGGUAAAAGUAAAAUAGAGACUGUAGCAGGUGUCUGUGAUUGUAUUCGUUAAUUUGCAUGUACGAAUUUUAUCACAUAAAGAUAGCAUAUUUGUUAUAAAUGGCAUUUACCACAGUAACAAUAUCUAAAUCUCUUAUAUUUAUACCAAUAUACAUAUAUGUAUACCUAAUUUUCUUUUCUCUACUUUAUGGACUUAGUUUUGGAAGGAAGAAGGUGCUGUUUGCUACCAUGGCUGUGCAGACUGGUUUCAGCAUUGUCCAAGUUUUCUCAACUAGCUGGGAGAUGUUUGCUAUACUCUUCUUCAUCGUUGGCAUGGGACAGAUCUCCAAUUAUGUGGCUGCUUUCAUAUUAGGUAUUCCCUCAGCAAGAUUUCUUUAAUAUGCCAGAUACCUUUCUGGAGUGAAAUACUCUUUGGAAACUAAAAAUAAAUUUCGAUUAUGUUGGUUCUGCUAUUAAAAUUAAUCUUUAGUCCUAGGAGACAUUUUAUAUACAAAUAUGAAUAGGGUUUGUACAACAGGAACAAAGUUCCUCAAAUAGUUUUAUAGAUCACAAAUAAGUUCCUCUCUCCUCCUAUAUUGUUUUGCAGUGACAUUCAAACAAAGCUAGAUGUUAAUCAUAAAAAACUUAGUAAUGUUUUACUCACCAUAACUUCAUUGUGUUCCAGCCUUAUUUAUUCCCAUCAUUUAUGUAUUGGUAGGAGGUUUGCCAUGGUGGGCAACUUUUAGGCAUGGCUAGCAAAAUAGGACUUUACAUUUUAAAGCCAUGGACAUGUGUUCUUUUGUGCUUGUGUAUAAUGUAUAUUAGUUAUUACAAUGUAAAACAUAUAUUUCAGGCACUAUUAUAAUCUAAUCGCCCUCAUCUGUAAUUGUCAACAAUUUAUUUAUUUUUGGGUGACUAAUCUGUGCAUCGUAAUAUUUGUAUAAAAUUAUCUGUGGCGUACCUAGAGCAUUUGGCACCCGGGGCGGAUCCUGUGCUUGGCACCCCCCCCCACCCCCCCCAAAAAAAAAAAAACCUGUAAAAAAUGUUAAAGGUUUUCUUUCUUUUUUUUUACAAUUUGUAAACUUUGCAAAACUGCUGUCAGCCCCUCCUACAAACCCUUGUCCUGCCCCACCCCUCCUACAAAACCUCUGUCCUGCCCCUUCUACAAAUCCUGUACUGCCCAGUCUACAAAACCCCCGCAACCCCCUUCCACAAAUCCCCUGCUUAUCACUCCUUAUAAAGACUCCUGUCCCAAUACAAAACCCCCGCCCCCUUCUACAAAAAUCCCUGCAGCCCCACACACACAUUUACAGACAGUCACACACUCAGUUACAGACAGUCACACACUCAGUUACAGGCAGACAGUCACAUACAGUCACAGGCAGACAGUCACACAUACACAUUUCCUCUGUGCGGCCAGUUUAUCAGCUGUUUGCUUGUGUGAGCUGUACUGGCCGCACGGCACCCUAACUACCAUGGGACACUGUGCGGCCACAGCUCACACAGCCCCCUCCAGCCAGGGCCGGUGCAAGGAUUUUUGCCGCCCUAGGCAAAAGUAAAGUUUGCCGCCCCCCCUCAUGUGACAUCACAAUUCCCCACCCAUAUGAUAUGCCAUGUUAACUAACGCCAGUGCUGCAGUGCCGCCGUGUUUACAUUAAAAGGCCUGCAGGGACAGGCUAUAGACACCAGAACCACUACAUUAAGCUGAAGUGGUUCUGGGGACUACAGUGUUUCUUUAAUGUGAGGUAAAUUAGAGCUUAGUGCCACGAAUAAUAUACUAGAUUGCCUACUUACAACCAGAUGAGGAUGAUGAUGGGCUCUAGCUGCAGUCUGGCUCCACUGGUCUGGUGCAGAACAGGCUCUCUGGAGGCGGUUUGUAACUGUGGUCACAAAAAUCAAUGUUCUGGGAGAACGGGAAGCAGCUCCAUUUUUUGGGGGUCCUUUACACAGCUCAAGGUCUGGGUCCCAGGGUCCACCUUCAUGUUCCACCAAUGAGUUUGUUCACAGGGGGUGGAGUGUGUAGGGGAUGUCCUGAUAUGUGUGCAAGGAAUGCAUUGUGUGAAAUUGUGUUUGUAUGUGUAAGGGCUGCAAGGUGUGUUUCUGUGUAUGUAUGGAUGCAUUGAAUAUGUGUAAGGGGUGCAUUGAGUGUGUGUAAUGAAUGCAUUGUGUGUUUCUGUGUGUGUAAGGGAUGCAUUGUGUGUAACGGUUGCAUUGCUUGUGUAUGUGUGUCUGUGUGUGUAAUGCAUUGUGUGUUUUCUGUGUGCAAGGGGUGCAUUGUGUGUAUGUGAUGAAUGUCAAUCUCUCCUCCCGCUCCAAUUUCCUUCUCCUCCUCCUAUUUUCUCUCACCCCCGCUCCUUUCUCUCUCACCCACCCACCCUUUUCUCUCUCUCACCCCCCCCUUAUUUCUCUUUCUCACCCCCCUUAUUUCUCUUUCUCAACCCCUCCUCCUUUCUCCUCUUUCUCACCCCUCCUCCUUUCUCCUCUUUCUCACCCCUCCUCCUUUCUCCUCUUUCUCACCCCUCCUCCUUUCUCCUCUUUCUCACCCCUCCUCCUUUCUCCUCUUUCUCACCCCCCUUUCUCCUCUUUCUCACCCCUCCUUUCUCCUCUUUCUCACCCCCCUCUUUCUCCUCUUUCUCACCCCCCUCCUUUCUCCUCUUUCUCACCCCUCCUCCUUUCUCCUCUUUCUCACCCCUUUCUCUUUCUCACCCCUCCUCCUUUCUCACCCACCCCCUUUCUCCUCUUUCUCACCCCCUCCUUUUCCUCUUUCUCACCCCCUCCUUUUUCUCACCCCCUCCUUCUCUUUCUCACCCCCUUUCUCCUCUUCUCACCCCCCUCCAUCCUUCCCCCUCCAAUUUCUCUUUCUCACCACCCCUCCUAAUUUCUCUACCCCCUCCUCCUUUCUCCUCUUUCUCACCCCCCCUCCUUUCUCCUCUUUCUAACCCCUCCUCCUUUCUCCUCUUUCUCACCCCUCCUCCUUUCUCCUCUUUCUCACCCCUCCUCCUUUCUCCUCUUUCUCACCCCUCCUCCUUUCUCCUCUUUCUCACCCCUCCUCCUUUCUCCUCUUUCACCCCUCCUUUCUCACCCCCCCCCUUUCUCUUUCUCACCCCCCCUCCCUUUCUCACCCCCCCCUUUCUCCCACACCCCCCCCCCUACCUCCCUGUAGCGUGGCGAGCCCCAGCAUAGAUCCUCAGGUACAGGGCAUCUGUCUCCCUGUACCCGGCCGGACUAACGGAAGUGAACACACAGUGUGCACUUCCUGUUAGUCGGCAUGUACAAAACAGCCUCCCUGUACCGUCGGACUCACUGUCUUCACGGCCCGCUAACAGAAGCUGACAGGAGGGAGCGCUGGCUUCCCUCCUGUCAGCCCCUCUCCUCAGGCUGCGCCCGGGCGGUGCGGUCCGCCCUCAUGGACGCACCGCCCGGGCAAUGCUGCAGCCGCCUGAGGCUCUCUACAGAGCACUCGGGCGGCUGCAGCAUUGGGGGGCCAGCGGGGCUGGUCAUGGCACCCCCCAUUCUGGUGGCACCCGGGGCGGACCGCCCCCUCCGCCCCCCCCUUAGUACGCCACUGUCUGUGACUAUAAGUGUGUUCUUGACACUCCUUUUUAAUUGCAUUUUAAAAAGAUGUCUGCAUGUCUCACAUGUAUUAUUUAUGAAUUUAAUUUUAAGAAUCCAAGCUUGCUUAAUUAAACAUUAGUGUUAGGUAAAAACACAAUAUAGAUUUAUAAACCCCUCCAGGAUUUUUGGAACAUUGCCUGAAACAAAAACAAAAAAAUAUUAGCCUCUUUUUAUAUCCUGUUUUCAACACCUACAGUCUCACUCUUUAUUCGUAAAGACCACGGGACUGGUAAAUGCAUGUUUCUCUUAAAAAUGCCAUAAUCUGAAAAGCAAAACAACUGCUAUAACUGUUUAAAAGGAGUGGAUUGUAUUUUAAAUCCUGUCAACUAACUAAAAUAUUGGUUAUCUUCUGAGACGGGUAGGCAACUUUGAUGCUUUGCCAACAGUAUGAGCAAAAGAGCAUUAUGGGUGAUGUAGUCCACAACAUCAUCAGUUUUAAGAUUUUCAACCCCUGAGUAUGUUGAGCAGCUAGAUAUUCAGCACUUGCAGCACAUGUGAGCAGGAUUUCAAGUUAAACUCUGAAUCUAUGUUUUGGACACCCCUGAUCCAAUGCAUUUACUCAAGGUACACCAGAGGUUUGCUCAUUUUGACCUUGAUUUAAUAUAUAUAUAUAUAUUAAAAUUCUUUAUUUUUAUUGUGCAGGUGUUAACUAACAAGCAUAAUAAAAACAGGCAUGGCAUUGCAUUCAUAGAAACUGCACAUUUUUUUUUCUACUGAGAUGACAAGCUAGGAACAGUAACACAAUAAUAAAUGUCAGUAGGUAGGUUAAACAAAAUGGUGUAGUAAUAAGGCUAUACCAGCUGACGUGGUUAUCAUUAGUACUGAAUAUUUGAGCAAGCAGGAAUGUACAUGUCUACUGAUUCGUAAGCGGUUUGGUAGUCAGAGAUAGGUAGAGUUGUUCGGAGUGUGCAACAGAGAGAGCAGAUAUAGUGACCUAUACACAGCAUUAUCUGAGAAGUAUGAUGUAAAAAUGUCUACUGGAUGAUGGUGCACACAUGUGUGAAAAUUUACCACUGGGACUGGGCAUUAGGCUUGGAAAAUUAGGCGUUACAAGCGUUUUGGGGGUGAGAAGAAAGAAAAAAGACAGUAUGUCAAAAUCGAUUCAAACAUCAAAGCAGUAUCAUGGUCAUUAUGCAUAUUAUUAGGUCAGACACAGUGGACCAUCAUGCUUCAAAUGUCCCUUUUCACCCGAUUCCAGAAGUCGGUAGACCAUCGGUGUUGCUGCUACCUUGAUUUAAUAUUUUUGAAUAAACUUUUUAAAUAAUUCCUAUCUGUUAGAAAAAUAUUUGAAAUUAUUUAUCCACAAAAAUUACCAUUAAUAUCUAAGGGAAUUUGUGCAUAAAUAUCAUUAAAAAGUUCAUCCAAACAUAUUGAAUCAUUUGAAAAAUGUAUUUAUUUUUUUGUCAAUCAGUAUUUAUUGAAUUUUUCAGGAUAACUACAAUAAUACAUUGUACAUGUUACAUACAUAGUUCCGUGGUUAGCAAGAGUGAGCAUAUGUACUCUAAGUUUGUAUACAUAGUGUUGUGAAGUAGCACAUCACCUGGUAACUAGGAUCGCUUAUUCUGUCAUGUUUAGGUUAAGCGCGACUCGGGUGAUGUCUUGCCCGGUCCCAAUGCCAUAAGUCCGUGGACAAUGCCACGUGGUCUAUGUGGUCUACCUCCCCCUAGUCGUCGGUAUAGCUCCCAUCUCAUUUGGCUAGGGUAUCACCCUGGUUUCUCAUUUCUAGUGUCAGAACGGCCUUUAGGUAAGCUCUGUCCGUGUGGGAUUGCCUGGGUUCCACCCCGUCCGUGUCUAACCUCAGAAUUCUGCGAAGCAUGCAGAGUCAAGAGCUCAUUAGUGGGGGGGGGGGUAUCGGUCGCCCUCAACAAAUCAUGUGGUAGUAAAGCUAUGUAUCAAGUCGGUUUACGUUGUGUCAGGUCCCGUUUGUGUCCCGGUGCCCAUGUCUGUUCAGGUGUUUAGUCCUCUCUUGUGUCCGACCUCGGUGUCAUCAGUCUGUCUGGGCGUUGUCUUGCUAGGGCAAGGCUAGCCUUGUCCCCUUUUCAGUACAGUAGGGGAAUCAUUUGAAAAUCUUAUCCAAAAAUAUUAAAUUGAGGCUUCUGUAAUAAGAUGGUUUUCCAUAGUUCAGCAUACAUAAGCUUGCAUUUCAAACAUUUAGAUGUUUGUGUAUCUCCAAUUCCUAGUUGCAUGCUCUAUUUGAAAUUGGCGAUAUGAUUCUAAACUCACAAAUUGCAGUGAUAAAAUUAGAUCACAAAACAUUUUUAGUAAGAACACAAUGUCCCACAUACCUACUGCCAGGAUUUUUACAGGGAAACAGAUGUUUCUGAAGUGAGAUCUGUGAUUAUUAAAUUCUUGUUUACAAACAUUGUAAUUAGAUUUAUUGUUUUAUUUAAGUGUACAGAAUAGACCUGCAUCAGCAAAAGGUUCUGAAAUCUAACUUUACAGUAACAUAAAGGAAUAUUCUAAGGUUAAAAAUUAAUAUAUAUAUAUAUAUAUAUAUAUAUAUAUAUUUUAAAUUAGCGUUUUCUUUUUUUUUUUUUGCUCCCCUAAAAAAAGACCUUUAUACUAACCUGUAAUCCAGCAUCCUCACAUCUUAUAGUCUAACGCUUCUGAAAUCGUUUGUGAUGAUUUCCAUCCAAUCUGACAGCAUCUCACAGAGAAGCAUUGGGGACCGAUUACCGUGCAUGCGCUUUGCCUAUUGGCUACUUCUCAUAGACGAGCAUUGAAUCCAGUGCUUUUCUAUGAGAAGCAUUCACAAUGUCAAUCUGACAAUCGCAAUCUCUUGUAAACAUUGUCAUUGACAUGAACGCUGCACUGAAACUGCUUCAUUAAGAUUAAGUGGUUUUGGUGCUUGCAGUUUGCCUUCCUCUCGUGUCUCGUUUUUCAUGGAUGCCUUGAUAUAGAAAAUAAACAGAAAAAGUACCAAUGCACAAAAGUCAGCACACCCCUCACAUUUUAAAAAAUAUGUUAUUAUACCUUUUCAUGUGACAACACUCAAGAAAUGAUACUCUGCUACAAUGUAAAGUAGUACUCAGUUUUGUUGCCAACCGUUUAGACAUUAAUGGCUGUGUGUUGAGUUAUUUUAACCCCUUAAGGACCAAACUUCUGGAAUAAAAGGGAAUCAUGACAUAUCACACAUGUCAUGUGUCCUUAAGGGGUUAAAGGGGACAGCAAAUUUACACUGUUAUACAGGCUGUACACUUACUACUUACAUUGUAGCAGAGUGUAAUUUCUUCAGUGUUGUCAUAUGAAAAGAUAUAAUAAAAUAUUUGCAAAAAUGUGGGGGUGUACUCACUUUUGUGAGAUACUGUAUGAGGCAUUUAACACAGCAUUGACACGUAUGUUUCGAGUUCUCUCUAUUUCUCUAUUUGUUCCCAUUUUUAAGAUUUAAAGUUAUGUUAGGUAUAUACAGUGGAACCUCGGAACUCAAACUUAAUGCGUUGCAGGAGGCUGUUCAAAUUCCAAUUUGUUUGAAAACCGAAUCAACAUUGCCCAUAAGAAUUAAUGUAAAUUUGAUUAUUCUGUUCCAGACAGAAUCACAGCAUUUUAACACAAAUGUUACAGUUUAAUAAUAGCUCACAUGCAUAAAAUCAAAUAGAAAAAAAAAAAAUAAUGAAUACAAUGUACAGUAAAUUAAAAGAAAAUGUAACUUCACUUUACCUGUAAUGAUGAGAGUGGAUGGCGUAAGUGGAAAGAAGAAGAUAUUAUUGUUUGGAUGGGGAUAGGUAACUGUUCUUCUGGCAUUUAAAAUGUGUCUAAAGUGAGACAUAGCUUAUAAUUGAACAUGUUUGUGGCAUGAUUUGUUCAGGUACCGAGGAUCGUGUACCAAGACAUUUUUUUUCUCAAAUUUUUUCUUCGACUACUGAAUUGUUCGGAUAAGGGACCGUUCACGUUCCAAGGUUCCACUGUGUGUGUGUGUGUGUGUGUGCGUGUGUGUAUAUAUAUAUAUAUAUACAUAUAUUUUCUGCCCUUUAGAAAAUAAUAUGUAUGGGUGCACCUAAAGAGAAUCUCUUAUAUUGCGAUUACUUGGACAAUUGCCAAGAUGUUAAAUAAAGAAUUUAUUACAAAAUGUAAAUAAAAUAAAAAAGUUUGGGAAAUGUUACAAACCUAUUCCAUUCCUUAAUGCCAUAGCCAUUCCCAAUGAGUAUUCAUCCCUAGUGUUCUAGGAAGGCUCCAGAGGUCUUUGUCAUCAGAUGACACAGUUCUCACAUGACACAUUGCGGUCCUGUGCUUUGAUACACUUUCAUAUUCCAGUGUUCUGCUCCACUAGAUCUCAGAAAUGAUUGUGAGGAAGCAUACUCUGGAGGCACUAUAUUGGUUGUGUUUAGUAAAUUUAGAGUUGCCAUGGGACUAUAGUGGAUUUAAUUAACAAAGUCAAAGUGUAUGAAUAAUCACGUUGCCAUUGUUUUAUUUUGGUGGAUAUCUAGAACAUCACAUACCUACUUCACAUAGGAUCUUUGUAAAAUGUUGCACCUUGUGUGUGUAUGUAGUCUUCAGAAUAAUGUGUAUCGAAAACAUAUUGUGUACAGUAAAUGUGCGACGUCACAAUGCUAGUAACUAAAUUGUAGGAGGUAUGAAAAAAGUAGGAAGUUUAAAAAAUAUAAUAUAAUUAUAAAAUAUAUUUUGUGUAUUUCAUUCUUUCAUUUCUGCUGGGUUUUUUUCUUAACAGGAUCUGAAAUUCUUGGAAAAUCUGCCCGCAUCAUCUUCUCUACAUUAGGAACAUGUAUAUUCUUCGCAAUAGGGUACAUGCUCCUUCCACUCUUUUCUUACUUUCUCAGAGAAUGGCGGACAUUACUGUUGGCACUCACCAUACCUGGACUCUUCUGUAUUCCACUUUGGUGGUGAGUUGUACAUAUUCUGUGAGAUAAGCUUGAGCAAUUUGAGGUCCACUAGAUGUUGCAGGACUAUAGCUUUCAUGUCUGCGUUAGUCAUGCACACCAUAAAGGUACACUCCAGUGUGCUGAUGUGCUUUAUAGGUAAUGAAGUGUGUCCUCUUGUAUUUAUUUCUUUUUUCAUUUUACAAAAAGUGCAGAUUUCGAAUGAUAUUAGCACUUUUAUAAAUUAACCUUGUUACACCCCACUGGCCUUCAAGCAGACAACAGGUCCUUUUGUUUCCUGGUUUGGCUAGCUCAGUGGAGUUAAACUCGAGAAGAAGCAAUUGCCCAGAGCACCUGCCUUGCAAAGACUUCUCAUUGAGCUGCUCUAGAAAGUAUGUGAUUGGACAGCCACAGAAAGUCUAGGCGGGGGGAAAAGGGGAUGGCGGCUUGCAAAGGCUGCAGACAAGAGGUCUGCAGGUUUUGCAAGCUGCCUUGAAAUUUACCCUUAAAAAAUACAUAAAUCAAUUCAUAUCUACUAACCCCUUAAGGACUGAGGCUGUUGUACAAGUUGUGAUCAAGACAAAACGUAAAUUGCGCUAUAUGUCUGUUCAACCAUAAUUCACCUCUUUCAUAUUAAAUGCGCCCACACUUAUUAUAUGUCAUUUUGUUCAGCAGAAACAGGGCUUUCAUGUCAUACCAAAUAUUUAUAUAUGAAAUAUAAUAUGAAUAAAAAUGAGAAAUUAAGAAAUGUUAUUUUUUUUUUAGUUCUGCAUGGCAUUUGAACUGUGAAUAGCAUAAUACUGUUUGCCCUUACUGCAAUAUAAUACACAUAUUUAUAUUCAGUGAUGUCUCACGAGUAAAACAGUACCCCUAAUGUACAGGUUUUAUGGUGUUUUGGAGAGUUACAGGGUCAAAUAUAGCAUGUUUCAUUUUUCAGUUUAUACGCAUUUAAAUUUGCCAGAUUGGUUAUGUUGCCAAAUGGUAGCCUAGGAAUGAGAAUUACCCCCAUGAUGGCAUACCAUUUGCAAACAUAGACAACCCAAGGUAUUACAAAUGGGGUAUAUGUCCAGUCUUUUUUAGUAGUCACUUAGUCACAAACACUGGCCAAAGUUAGUGUUCAUAUUUGUUUGUGUGAUAAUUGCAAAAAAACAAAUUUUAACGCUAAUUUUGACCAGUGUUUGUGACCAUAAAACCUGUACACUGUUAUACUCGAGAGACUUCGCUGAACAGAAAUAUUAGUGUUUCGAAACCGUAAAAUGUAUCACAACAAUGAUAUCGUCAGUGAAAGUGCUGUUUGUGUGUUAAAAAUGCAAAAAAUAGCAUUUUCACUGACGAUAUCAUCGUUGUGAUACAUUUUACUGAUUUGAAACACUAAUAUUUGUGUUCAGCGAAGUCUCCAGAGUAAAACGGUACCACCCAUGUACAUGUUUUAUGGUGUCUUGGAAAGUUACAGGGUUAAUUAUAGGGCCUGCGAACCAAAUUCUGUGGACUUUCUGUCUGGUUUGUCAGGCAGGUCCCUCACACUGUCAUUAAUAAAAUUACUUUAUUAUGUAAAAAUAUUACAAAAAUAUAUACGUAGAAUUGAAAUAUUAUAUAUAUAUGUAUAUAUAUGUGUGUGUGUAAUUUAAAAAAAAAUAUUUGUAUUUAUAUAUAAACAUAAAUAUAACAUAUAAUAUAUAUAUAAUUUUGUUCUACAUGUAUUUUGAUAUCAGUGUGUAUAUAUAUAUAUAUAUAUAUGAGUGUGUGUGUGUGUGUAAUCAAAAUACAGUUAGAACGAAAUUACACAUGUGUAUAUAUAAUUUUUAUUUUUUUAUUUUUCAUUUUUUUAUUAUUUAUAUUAUAUGUAUGUAAAAUUAUUGUCAUUCUAUGUGUAUAUUAAUAUAUAUAAUAUGUAUUAAUAUUAAAAUACACUUAGAGACAUAGUGUAUGUAUAUACGUGUGUGUGUAUGUAUAUAUAUAUAUAUAUAUAUAUAUAUAUAUAUAUAUAUAUAUUUAGAUCAUAUAUAUAAUACUUAGAUCAUAUAUAUAUAUGUAAUUUACUUUUACACUGUUUUUAAACUUUAUUGAGCUUUGUUUCAGGUAUCAGGGGGACUGCCUGUCAUUCCAGGCAGGCCCCCUGCAUGCACUGCUGUGGAUGGCUAUUCCAUCCAUGUGAUCGCGACCUCAUCGUGAUCACAUGGUUUGGGAGGGCUGGAUCCAUGGAUGCUAGGCAAGUCCCCCCCCCUCCCCCCGCCGUCCUAUGCACUGAUUAAUGGUUUAAAGAAUACAGUAAAACACUAGCUUUUAAUAGUCAAGUGAAAACAAAACAUACUAUAUGUAAAAAAAAAAUUUAAUUUUUUUUUUUAAUUGAUAUCACUAAGGGUUUUCCAUAACUCAUUAUUGCUUUUGCAGGAUUAUUCCAGAAUCUCCACAAUGGCUAGUCAGCCAGGGAAGAUUAGAAGAGGCAGAAGAAAUCAUACGAAAGGCAGCGAAGAUGAACCAUGUUGCGGCUCCAUCGAUUAUAUUUAAAACGGAGGUAAACCGCUUAAUUCACUGUUUUUUUGUUGUUUUUUUCAUGUCUCCUUGUAUGGAUAGAAAACUCAACACAUAAGAUUUAUUAACUAAACACUGAUUUGCAGUUGAAAACUGAAUUGCAAAAUGUAUCCAAAAAGUUCUGACGUGGAAACAUUCUCAAAUACAGCUAUAGGCACAACUUCAUUUCUGGAUUUCAGUUACCAUAUAUACUUGAGUAUAAGUCGACCCAAAUAUAAGUUGAGACCCCUAAUUUUACCCCCAAAAAACUGGGAAAACUUAUUGACUCGAGUAUAAGCCUAGGGUGGGAAAUGCAGCAGCUACUGGUAAAUUUCUAAAUAAAAUUAGAUCCCAUAUAAAAUUACAUUAAUUGAAUAUGUAUUUAGUGUGUGUAUAUAAUGAAUGCUGUGUGUAUGUAUCAGUGCAGUGCGUGUGUAUUAAUGCAGUGUGUGUAUGAAUGCAGUGUGUGUGUGUGUAUAUAAUGCAGUGUGUGUGUGUGUAUGAAUGCAGUGUGUGUGUGUGUGAUGCAGAGCCUUGGUGGGGGGUGGGCAUUUUUAUUAAUUUUUUUAAAAUUAUUAUUAUUAUUUUAAUAUUAUUUUUUAUAUAUUAUUAAUAUUUUAUUUUAUUAUUAUUUAAAUUUGUAUUUAUUUAUUUUCGUCCCCCCUCCCUGCUUGUUAGCUGGCCAGGGAGGGGGGGCUCUCAUUCCCUGGUGGUCCAGUGGCAUGGGCUGUGUAGGAGGGGGGCUGGCAGAGAGCUGUAACUUACCUUUCCUGCAGCUCCUGUCAGCUCCCUUCUCUCUCCUCUGGUCCGGUCAGCUCCCCUGUCAGCUCCCCUGUAAGUCUCGCUGUCUGUGUGCCGCGCAGAGUGUUGCCACGGUAAUCCGUGGCAACGCUCUGACCCCGCGGCUCUCGCAAGACUUGCAGUGGAGCUGACAGGGGAGCUGACCGGACCAGAGGAGAGAGAAGGGAGCUGACAGGAGCUGCAGGAAAGGUAAGUUACAGCUCUCUGCCAGCCCACAUAAGGACCGCCGGGCUCAUCCUGGUCUGUAUUAUGGCAAUGUUAUUUGCCAUAAUACAGACAGUGACUCGAGUAUAAGUCGAGUGGGGGGUUUUCAGCACAAAAAAUGUGCUGAAAAACUCGUCUUAUACUCGAGUAUAUACGGUAACUACAAUUCAGUGGGCAGUGAAAAUGUACUCUUUGCAAGUAAAUUCUGAUCUCACAAUAUUUCGCAAACAUAUUUAGAAUUCUAACAAGAAAGUUCAAUCACACCAGAAAUAUGAUGUAAAUGUCAGGCACACCCUCAUGCAGCUUCAAAUUGUACUCUCAAAUUAAUUUGUUUUGCUGCAUUUUAAGAUUAGUUUCGGUUUAGAUUAGAUGACCUAAAUCAAUACAAGGAAUGAAACAGACCAGCAAAAAAAAAAUUAAAAAUCUAAAAGUAAAAAUUAACUUACUUUCAUUAAAUGAUUUCAGUUAAGGUUAUCUACCAGUACCCUAAAAAAAUAGUACGAUGUUAAAGGAGCACUGUUACAUACAUAUUUGUUGCACAACUUGAUAGCGAACUACCAGUUAUUAAACAAGCUACUGAUUGUUAAAAAAAAAAAGCUAACCAGUUUUAAAACAAUAAUUCCUAAGGCUAGAGUGAUGUAGUGGUGAUUUAGAUUUCACCCCUCUGGAUUAAAGUAACACUAUAGCGUUAGGAAUUCAGAUUUGAAUUCCUAAUGGUGAAGCAUCUCUGUCCCUACUCCUCCCCCCAUUGCAAUAAAAUCAUGACCUCUGCCGAUGUCCAGUCCAAGGUUCCUCAGAAAGGAGUACUAGGGACCUAAUACGCAUGCUCGGCAAGAACCAUGCAUGCAUAGCAAAGCAUUAAAUCACUGCUUUCUUAUGGGGCAUUUGACAAAUUUUACUGUCAUCAGGGCUGGAUUAACAUAGGGGUUGAUGGAGCUACAGCUUCAGGCCCAUGUCUAUGGAAUAAGCCCAUUGAUUAAAAAAAAAAUAUAUAUAUAUAUAUAUAUUUUUUAUUAUUAUUUUUUUUCUCUUUACUACUUUUCACAUGCUCUUGCUUAAAGGGACACUAUAGUCACCAGAACAACUACAGCUUAAUGUAGUUGUUCUGGUGAGUAUAAUCAUUAUAUGCAGGCAUUUUCAUGCAAACACUACCUUUUCAGAGAAAAGACAGUGUUUACAUUGCCCUUAGAGACAAUUCCAAGUGGCCACUCCUCAGAUGGCCACUGGAUGUGCUUCCUGGCUCAGUGCUGCACAGUAGGCAGCUGUGCCGUUCAUUGUCUCCACGCUCUGCAUGGGGAUGCUGAAUUUUCCUCAUAGAGAUACAUUGAUUUAAUGCACCUCUAUGAGGAGAUGCUGAUUGGCCAAAACUGUGUGUGGCCCCGCCCCUUGCAGAUUUUAGACAAUCCAAUACUUUCCCCAUGGGAAAGCAUUGGAUUGGCUAAAAAUCAGCAUUUCUUAUGAUGUCAGCAAGAGGGCAGGGCCAGCGCCAUCAAACCCACGCUGCUCUGGAAAUAAGGGGAGUUUUAUUAACUUUUAAGGUGGCUAAGGGGGAGGGGGGCAAGCCACCUAAAUGGUGGGUUUAACAGUAUACGGUCAGGAGUACAUGUUUGUGUUCCUGACCCUAUAGUGUUCCUUUAAGUAUGGAAACUUAAGAGGGAUGUAGGGGAACAAAGCUGUUGUGGGCUGGCUGACAAGGAAAUUAGUUAAGGUAAAGUUUACUUUGCACACUAUGCAAAUGCUCUUGCUGCUUCAGUCUCUCUAAUAUGUUCCUUUUCUUCUACACUCACUACAUACACUUUUUCCCCUGUUCCUCACUGUAUACCAGGAGCUUCUGCCUGCUAGUAAGAAGGUAAGGAGAGGAGUGGACCAGCGAGUGCUAGGCGACAGUACUAGCUAGUGCAUCUUUAGACGCAUUUAUGCCAAGCAGCUCAGGGUGCUGUCUGCACAGUAUGUAUCUGCGUGAUUGGCAGGCAGCCUGACAUGCAUUCACGCCAGGCUGACCAUCUAAUUCUUUGUGCAGACACGCCCCUGAUUUUUGGCAUGUUUGUCCCUUUGGGCAGUUCAGGUUAAGUGAUUCACAUCAGUGGCCCACCCUUUUACCCCGCCCACCAAAAUCAUGCUUUACCAGACACUGCUGUUAGUGGGUAUGGAUUUACUUGAAAGAGGAGUGUCCCUCCAGCACCAGAUACAUGUAUAUAUGAGGUAUAACUGUUUUAGUGUUUUCCAUCGAUAAGAUUCUGCAAUAAGGCCCAUUAUAAUUGUUAGCACCAGGCCCAAUAGGCUCUUAAUCCUGCCCUGACUGUCAUACUGAAAGCCACUAGAAGUAAACUUUGCAGUUUCUUAAAAACUGUAAUGCGUUACACUGUAAAGUUAAAAGGACAGGGGCAUUGCACCCAGACCAGUUAAUUAAGAUUAAGUUGUCUGGGUGACUAUAGUGUGCCUUUAAUAAAAUAGUCUCACUUAACUUUUAUCCUACGGCACCGAUGAUCUCAGCCAAUCCAAAGCUUCCCCAUGAGGAAGCAUUGGGAGCCUUGUGUGCAUGAGUGGCAAUCGCCAUGCUGCACCAUUCACAUCUCCUAAUAGAGGUGCAUUGCUCUCUGCAUGGACAAACUGAAUGUCAGUCUAACAAAGACUGCAGGACCUUAAAUCAUGAUGCCUCUCUAGUAUCUGUUCAAGGCGUCUAUUAGGCGUGGAGUUAGGCAGCAAUUUAACACUGCCUUUUCUCAGAAGCACAGCAGAAUACAAUCACUUUGCUCAAAAACCACUACAUUAAGUUGUUCUGGUGCAUAGAGUGUCCCUUUAAUUUGGCAUUGUGUGCCUGUCUGUCCUAGAACAACAAUCUCAGGGAAAUUAAUUAAAUUUUCACUGUGCCGUAUGUGGAUAAACAUUAGCAGAGCAUGUGGCACUUUUGAAGAAUGCCAAAUGUGCAAUGCACCCCGGGAGCAUUAUGGAGGAAUGACAUUGCCUUGGACACGGAUGGGCUGCGACAACCAUUGAGGUGAGGGGAUAAGUACUUGUCAAAUGUCAGGUAGGCUUAAACUGUAUACUUAAAGACAUUGAUGACAAUAUGUACAAGAAAGUACUCAAAUGCACUCCAAAGUCACUCUAAUUAUAAAUAAUUUUACUUAUUACUGCACCAUUCAUGAGACUUUAGUCUUUUGUGUAACCAUACACAAAAGAAAACUAAAUCAGAUUUUCCUUUUAAAUAUGCACAAAACCAUAAUCUAAUAAUAAUUUAAAAAACACCGGUGGAUUAUUUACUAGUCUGACUUGGCAAAAAACUGUCAUCACUGAGUUACACCUAUGAUGUUCUGUACUAGCUUACUUAUUUCAGUUACAGUGCCAAAAAAAAGAUCUGUGGGAAAGUUCCUUAGAGAAUAGUGACACUAGUUCUCAUUUACCACUAUUUCCUGGGAAAUUUCAAGUUCAAAGUGAAUUCUGAACAUAUUUCACAAUUUAGGCCAAAAUUGUUGAACUGGAAAUAUUCUCCAAGUCAGCUAGUUUGGCCUUAAAUUUAAAAUUAACUUUGAAUUUAAUUUGAAGUUCCAACAAUUCUAACUUUAGUAAAUAACCCUGCUUGACUAAAGAAAUUAAUAAAUUUUUUGGUGUAAGCUCUACUCUUUCUCAGACAAUGUGAAGGAAUCAGCUUGCACCAAAGUACCUAAUGCAAUGUAUUUUUCCCAGGCUAAAUUUGGCAUUGGAAGACAUAAAUAGCCUUUUCUAACACAAACAAACAAAAAGUAAAAGUGCCUAUGUACCUGGAACGUAGCUCCAUUUUUGAACACUACCGUAAUCAUGAUUACUGUAGCUAAUGCUUAAGCCUAUUGAAACAACAAAAAUGUAAAUGCAUGUAACCACACCUGAUACAACAUCACAGGUAAUAACCAGGUUAUAACCAGGUGUGCAUAUUAAGUUACAUAGGGUAAUUAAAGAGCUUAGGGUUAUAUUGGUAGUAGAUGUGCCGAGUGUGCAAUAUGAAGCUUGCAUGGAAAAACUGCAAAUAACAACUGUACACGUUCAAAAAUAGGAGGAGUGGGAGACCUGAACAAGGAGAUAAUUCAUUAGCUUACGGAGCCAGGGUAGAGAAGCUCCAAUAAUAUAAACACUUUGAACAUAUAUUGAGUAACACAGUGAAUGUGGGACCCAGAGAUUCGCAGCUGCCUGUAUCAAUAAGGCAAGGUAGGCGCUUCAUGCGAUUCUCCUCGGGUACAAAUGGAGUAAUAUCCACAACAAUUUUAGAUGGUCGCUCUGCUGUCAGUGCUUUAUCCACCGCUAUCCCCAGGGACUGGAGAAAAGCUGGUUCUCCAGAGAGGUGUGACAGCAGGUGAGUCUUGCCGACCUUAUCAGCUAGCAUCCAAUGCGGACCUCUUAUAAGGGAUUGAAUGCUAAUGUAGCAGCUGGGUAACUUGUCAGAGGGAACUCCGCCACAUAAGGGUAUACAUUGAAAAGUCCCUUUAUAAUGCCAGUUGUGCCCCUCAAAGGACAUCGUGGAGGAGCCUCUUGAGGCUCCCAUGAGUAACUUCUAGUCAGAGUCCCACACUAGAUUCAUCAGGAUGUCUCCGGGUGUGUCUUGGGAUGUGAUGGUAGCCUUGGUAAGUUAGAAACAGGAGUCAACCAUCAUUUGCUUGGGUUUCAGCAAAGUGGCAAUAAGUCCCCAACAGUGUUGGGGGAGUCCAGCUCCUGAGAUCGUUUCUGGCACACUCAGAUUUCGUGCCCUGGCCCUGUCCUCCAUAUUGGCUAUUUGCACUUGCUGGUUGGUACAUUGCUUUUGUAGUGAUUCCAGUGCAGCAUCAUUAGCCGUUUGCGCUAGUCUGGUGCCUUCCAUGCUUUCCUCCACUGCUACGGUUGGUAAGUGUGGAGCCCUCUUCGUGGACUGGUGCCAUAUCGGCAUUAACCAUGGAGCCGAGCCUCCUGGAUCUGAGGAUGUGCCUGUGGCACUGGAUGUGGCCAAGAUAGAGCUGGAGGGAUGGCAUAAAUGCUUUUGCCAAGGUGUAGGCCUCAUCAUGCACCAUCUUGGAGGAUUGCUGGCCAUGGGGUUGUGCUCAGGUAAACCCUGAUAUCUCUGAAACCCGAGUCCAGGUGUGCUUGCUAUUCUUAUUUUUUUCCUAUGCACCCAGCUGUCUCUUCCAGUGCCCUGUAUACGUGCCAGGUAAGGUAAAAAGCCAGACAGAUCGUGCAGAGCUGCCUCAAAUUGCGUUUAGCUUGUGCGUGCGCCCCCCACAAUGUCAUUUCUUGUUUUUCAACUCCAGUAAUACAUAAGUCCUGAAUUUUGUAAGUACCAAACUUGAAUCCUCAAUAAAAUGUUCUGGUUUAAAUGUCAUUGUUUUUUUUUAUAAAUUACUUUGUCACUUCAUGUCACUAUUUGAAUAUUGCAUAAAGAUAAAAUCUUUAUGAUAUACUUGUGUUGACUGUGUUUGGAUAUCAUAAUACAAUAAUAGGGAUUCCUUUGUCUUUGGGCAAAGCUGAAGUUUACAAUAAGUGGGGCUUUCACCAUCAACUUUUGCCAUUUCACUCAUUCAAUGCUUGCAAAGGCUGUAGGGAAAAAACAUCUUAUAUGGAAAAUCCUGCCUAGAGUUCAGUGAGUAUUGCAUUUUCGAGCAUGUUCAAUAAUACAGCAGAGAUGCAUCUUCUGGUAUGGCAGAGUUUCAGGUAAGUAAAACUCUAUCCAUCUGCACUCAAAGACCACUGGAGACCAAGCAGGGAUGACCAUGUCAGUGGGUCUUUGUUAAAUAUGCAAAGGUUACAAAGCUGUUUUAAUGUAUGUUUGUUUGUUGUUUUAAUAUUAACAUUAUACAAAUACUGUAAUUUAUAUCAGUCACCUUCUAAAUAUCAAUUUCCUCUCUGUUUGCUCUUGUGUACAGAUGGAAGAUUCUAAAAAUGGCCCAAUAAAACGGCACACUUUUCUGGAUCUUGUGAAGACUCGCAAUGUCCGCAUCAUCACUAUAUUGACUAUAUGUAUUUGGUAAGUUAUGAAUUACAUUUUGUAGUGGAAUAUAAGAAUAUGUUAUACAUAUGUGAAACACAUUCAUCAUCUGUAAGGAUUAAAAAGAAAAUGUUACAAUGAUAAUUUUAUUAUUUAACUUCAUAUAUUUUAGCAAAUCAUAGUAACACCAGUUUUUGAUAUUCACAUAAAAAAUAUUAUCUGUGGGAAACAAACUAAUGUCAAUACGAUAAGGAAAAGGUGCAGCAAUACACAUAACUGGAGCACCCUAGAGUACAUUAAAGGAAAAGUGUGGCUUUUAGUCCUUCAACUUAGAAUUGUGAAGAAUUGGAAAACUCAUUUGAAAAAUACUGGCCACAAAUGAUGUGAAGAGUAAAGCACACGUAAAAUAAAGAUUAUUUAGAGGUAGUUACCAUUUCCAUAGUUUGUAAAUUGUAAUGGUUUAUAACUCUAUGAAGUUUAUUUUUAAACUAAUAAUUUUGGCGUAAAAUAAAAAAUACCUAUGUUAGUCUCAAAUCAUUGUCUGUUCUUUUGUAAUCUGUGUCAAUAGAACAGUGAUGCACCCUGAGCUAGUACACCAUUCCUGUAAAGGCAGUCAUACUUUAAAAGCUACUUUUUAAUUUUAAACCAGCAGGAAAAUGACUAUACAAUGGAUAGAUAGGUGGUAGUUAGGUAGAUAGCUAGGUUGAUAGAUAUUACAAAUGAAAAAUAUCCCAUUAUUAUGGUUUUUAUGUUAUGGUUUUUAAUAACUAAGAUUCAAUUAAUAUUGUCACAUAUAUCUGUUUGGAUCGCAUUUUAAUGUAUAUAGUCUUGUUUCAUGUAAUGUUUGAACAAAAGGUGUGGGAUCUGUAUCGCAAUAGUUAAAUACGUCCUGUACCUAAGUUUGCACCUUAAAGGGGCACUCUGAGCAUCUUAACAACUUCAUCUAGUGGUUAAACUGAUCUUGAACGGUUUAACCCCAAAGUGAGCCCCCAGCGCCGAUGUCAACUCCCCUGGGGGCAGCAUCUGGCUUCUGAAAUAUCAGUUACAGGAACCAAACUCAUAUUUCAAACUCUAUAAUGCUCCUGACCUUCAUUAUAUUCAGGCUCCCCCAUUGAAUGCUUCUCAUAUGAAAUUAAAUGCUUUCCUAUAAGCAGGGCCGGAUUAACAUAGGGGCUGAUGGAGCUGCAGCUCCAGGCCCAGGCCCAUGGAAUAGGCCCAUUAAAAAAAAAAAAAAAAAAAGAUUUUUACUUUUUUUUUUAUUUUUUUUUUUUUUUUUACACAUUACUCAUAGGUUUGCCAUCUGACUGGUAUUUUAAGGUGCAGCCUAUUUGAGGCUGCCUGGCUGUGACGGUACUGCAGUAAUACCGGCAAUACAAAUAUUUUUCUCAGUAUAAAAUGAGAUUGCUCUGCAAUACCAGCAGCGGCCAGUAGGGGUCACUGUGUAUGGAGAGAGGCAGGGAUAGAAAGUUACAGCUUCUCCCUGCCUCUCUCUACUCACUGAUCUGCUGGGGAGCAGCUACACAGCACAGAGAGUCCAGAUAGCAGCUUCCAUCCUGCAGAGACAGGCUACAGCUCAGGUAUGUGAAAAAUGGGGGGAAAGGCAGCAGGGAGACAUGGGGACACUGGCAGACAUGGGGACACUGAGACACUUGGGGAUACUGUGAGACAUUGGGAUGCUGAGACACAUGGGGACGCUGUGAGACAUAGGGAGACACAUUAGGACACGGAGACACUAGGGACACAGUGUCUCCCAGUGUCCCCAUGUCUCCCAGCCAGUGUCUCUUGUGUCUCAGUGGCCCCUAGUCUCCCAGUGCCCCCUAGUCUCCCAGUGGCCCCUAGUCUCCCAGUGUUCCCUAGUCUCCCAGUGUCUGUGUCCCCAUGUCUCUCAGUGUCACCAUGUCUCCCAGCAAGUGUCUGUGUCCCCUUGUCUCCCAGUGUCCCUAGUGUCCCUAGUGUCUGUGUCCCCAUGUCUCCACUCCCAGUGUCUGUGUCCCCAUGUCUGUGUCCCCCAUGUCUCCCAGUGUCUGUGUUCCCUUGUCUCUGUGUCCCUAGUGUCCCCAUGUCUCCCAGUGUCCCCAAAUAUUUCAGUGUCCCCAUGUCUGUCCACAAGUGCCCCUGUGUCUCAGUGCCCCCAUGUCUCCCAGUGUCCCCAAGUGUCUCAGUGACCCCGGGUCUCUCAGUGUCCCCAUGUCUCACUGUGUCCCCAUGUCUCACUGUGUCCCCUACUAACCUAGUGACACAGGACACACUAAGACAUGGGGACACUGGGAGAAAUGGGGACACAGACUGGGAGACUAGGGGACUGGGCGACAUGGGGACACUGACACUGAUGCCAGGCUGGACUUCCAAUUCUUUGGACAGACAUGCCCCUUUUUGGGCAUGUUCGCCCCUUUUGGCAGUUCUGGUCAUGUGAUUCGCAUCAGUGGCCCACUCUUUUACCCCGCCCAUUGACUUCCUGCUUCACUGGACACUGCUAUUAGGGGGUAUGGAUUAACUUGAAAGAUGAAAUCAUAAAUUAGAUAGAGAGAUUAGCAUAGAGUAUGUGUUUUCUUAUAGCUGCAUUCUUUGAGUUUCCCUCCAACACCAUCUCCAUCAGAUACAUGACGCUUGAAAGGUAUGACUGUUUUAGUGUUUUUGGUCGAUAAGACUCUGUAAUUAGGCCCCAUCAUAAUUGUCAGCACCAGGCCCACUGGGCUCUUAAUCUGGCCCUGCCUAUAAGCUUCUGCAUUACAUGACUGAGUUUUAUAAUGGAGCAAAAGCGCCUCUAAUCAGUAUGACCACAAUUUGUGCGCCACUCUAAUUUAUUGUUUUUUAACUAGAGACAUAUUUAACCCUUCAAGCUAAACAUUGCCAUUUCCGCAAAACGUCUUUGUUGUACCUUGAAGAGUUAAAAUUACUGGAUCACUGUACACAAUUAUCAACAUGUUGAGGGUCUUCCCUGGCCCAAUGAUAGACCCCAUCUUGUUCACAGUAUACAUUGAUAGACUAUUGUAUUAUCAAUGUCUAUUUCAUCCAAUAGGGACUACAUUACUUGCCUGAGAGCACUGGGUUAACUUGUCCCCUGAGAUCUCAGCCGGAAUAUAUAUAUCUAGCUAUCUUACUUUCACAGCCCUUCCCACAAAUUCAGGCAUCACCUUGUUCAUGAUUUCAUAAUGUUGUCAUAAUUUUCUUCUCACGUUAUUGAUUUAUAAUCCAAACAAUUCAGUGCUUGCUUCCAAUUUCUUACAGGUUGACCAUUUCCAUUGGUUAUUUUGGUGUCUCCCUUAAUACCCCAAAUUUACAUGGAGAUCCAUUUUUAAAUUGCUUCCUUCUGGCCGCUAUUGAAGUCCCAUCAUGCGUACUUGCGUGGUUGCUUCUGCGCAAUGUGGCCCGGCGGUAUUCAAUGUGUUCCACGAUGCUUCUUGGUGGAAUUGUUCUUCUUUUCAUCCAGCUGGUGCCUACUGGUAGGUGUUUUUUUAUUUUAUACCGACACUUCCCAAAAGCCUAAACAUUAUCACUGGCAAUUAUUUAUAGUAUUUGUAAUGUAGUGGAUUACGUUCAGAUUUCAGCCUAAUAUAUUGCAAUUGAUUGUUAGUGGUUGUUAGAUUACGAUAAUAUUUUACAUAACCAUGUGAAUAAAUUAAAAUUAGAGUAACUCAUUUAUAAUAUUUUGUUUAAUGUUUUCUUUUUUCAUUAUAUUCAUAUAGUACCUAUAUACUUUUGAUUCUGACAUUAGCCUGACUGGGAACUUUGCUAAUUUGGAGGCACAGUGAUUUUCUCUGUCCUGAAAGCACAUGACCAAACAGAAAAGAAUGGCUCCUUUUAGCACUUUUAGAUUAGCAAAGAUGUGGAUGGAACAAUGCGUUAAAUAUGUGGUGCUUAAGCCAACUUGUGGCAUAAAGUGGUGUGACGUGGACGAGUGGCAGUGAGCUAUCAAAUACAGAGCAUCCAUACCAAAUCCCAACUAUUCCCGGAAGAGUCAUUAAUAUAUACUAGAAAACGUGCCAUAAAUGUAAUCAAUAGUGUAGUUUUUUUUUUUUUUUUUUUAAAAGAAGGCUUAAUGCAGAAGGACACAAAGUUACAGUUUCAUUCAGUCUGUUAAACUGUGAACCAAAACCACCGUUGCUUAUCACUCACUUUACGUAUACAUAGGUAAUUAGAAAGACCACCAAGAUCUGUCCCAUUCUAAUCUACAUAAAUAUAGGUCAAACCACCUAGAAAGUGGUUGGUCCUCACAACAGAAACAUAGAAUGUGACAGCAGAUAAGAACCAUUCAGCCCAUCUAGUCUGCCCAAUUUUCUAAAUACUUUCAUUAGUCCCUGGCCUUAUCUUACAGUUAGGAUAGCCUUAUGCGUAUCCCACGCAUGCUUAAACUCCUUUACUCCUUUAACCUCUAUCACUUCAGCUGGAAGGCAAUUCCAUUCAUCCACUACAUAAGACUAUGUCCUCUUGUUGUGGUAGUUUUUCUUCUUUUAAAUAUAGUCUCCUCCUUUACUGUGUUGAUUCCCUUUAUGUAUUUAAAUGUUUCUAUUAUAUCCCCCCUGUAUCGUCUUUCCUCCAAGCUAUACAUGUUAAGUUCCUUUAACCUUUCCUUGUAAGUUUUAUCCUGCAAUCCAUGAACCAGUUUAGUAGCCCUUAUUGGAACUCUCGCUGAAGUAUCAAUAUCCUUCUGGAGAUACGGUCUCCAGUACUGCGUACAAUACUCCAAGUGAGCACUUCCCUCUUUCUACUGCUAAUACCUCUCCCUAUACAACCAAGCAUUCUGCUGGCAUUACCUGCUGCUCUAUUACAUUGUCUGCCUACCUUUAAGUGAUCAGAAAUAAUUACCCUUAAAUCCCUUUCCUCAGAUGUUGACGUUAGGACUCUAUCAAAUAUUCUGUACUCUGCCCUUGGGUUUUUACGUCCAAGAUGCAUUAUCUUGCACAUAUCCACAUUAAAGCAGCACUGUCAUGCCGAACUUACCUUUCCUCAAUCUCUUCCUCUUCUCCCCCUCUCUCAGGAUCUGUUAUUCUUUUCUUCCUGUCUUCUUUAGUUUUCUUUAAAAUCAUAAGACAAAGUGGCUGCUCACUGUAAAAAAAACUAUUGGCCCCCACCCCUAAACGACGGGUGGGGGCCCUAAAGGAAAAUAAGGGGGGAGACCAAAUGACCUACUGCCCCCCCCGGCCCCCACCCCUGGGCGGCGGGUGGGGGCAAUAAUGAGGGGGGGGACCUACUGUCCCCGCCCCCACCCCUGGGCGGCAGGUGGGGGCCAUGAAGAUAAUGAGGGGGGGGGACCUACUGUCCUCCCCCCCCGGCCCCCACCCCUGGGCGGCGGGUGGGGGCCAUAAGGAGAAUGGGGGGACCUACUGCCCCCCCCGGCCCCCACCCCUGGGCGGCGGGUGGGGGCCAUAGUGAGAAUUAGGGGGGGGGACCUACUGCCCCCCCCCCGGCCCCCACCCCUGGGCGGCGGGUGGGGCCAUAAUGAGAAUGGGGGNNNNNNNNNNNNNNNNNNNNNNNNNNNNNNNNNNNNNNNNNNNNNNNNNNNNNNNNNNNNNNNNNNNNNNNNNNNNNNNNNNNNNNNNNNNNNNNNNNNNCACUCUGAUUGGCUUAAACCCACCAAUCAGAGUGUUCUUAGCCUAAUUGCAGGGCGUGGAAGGGCUUUAUAAGCCUUCCCCCGCCCUGCAGAGCUCAGUCUGCGCGGAGCCCUCCAUGGGUGAAGAUGGAUUAUUUUUUUGCGCUUGGGUUUUUUCUUUUUCGUCUGGUUUUUUUUUUUGCGCUCAGGAUUUUUAUUUUAUUUUCAAUUCGACGGUUAUGAUGGAUGGUUUUUUAUUUGGCCUUUUUUGGGGCUGAAAAAGAAGAUUUGAGAAAAAAGAAGACGUCGAAUGGUAAGUUUAAUUUUAUUUUACAGGUUAGUUAUUUUAUCCCCCCCUCACUAUUUUUUAGGGUGAGGGGGGUAGGUAGGGACUUGUUUUUUUUGGGAGUGGGGGUGGGUGACUAGGGGCUUGGGGACCCCUAGUCACCUUGGGGGGGGUAAUUGACUUAGGGCCCCCACCCGCCGCCCAGGGGUGGGGGCCGGGGGGGGGAGGACAGUAAGUCCCCCCCCUCAUUAUCUUCAUGGCCCCCACCCGCCGCCCAGGGGUGGGGGCUGGGGGGGGCAGUAGGUCUCCCCCCAUUCUCAUUAUGGCCCCCACCCGCCGCCCAGGGGUGGGGGCCGGGGGGGGUAGUAGGUCCCCCCCAUUCUCAUUAUGGCCCCCACCCGCCGCCCAGGGGUGGGGGCCGGGGGGGGCAGUAGGUCCCCCCCCUCAUUCUCACUAUGGCCCCCACCCACCGCCCAGGGGUGGGGGCGGGGGGGGGGGAGUACUGCCCCCCCUCAUUCUCACUAUGGCCCCCACCCGCCGCCCAGGGGUGGGGGCGGGGGGGGAGUACUGCCCCCCCCUCCUCAUUCUCACUAUGGCCCCCACCCGCCGCCCAGGGGUGGGUGCCGGGGGGGGACAGUAGGUCCCCCCCCCCUCAUUAUCUUCAUGGCCCCCAUCCGCCGCCCAGGGGUGGGGGCCGGGGGGGGCAGUAGGUCCCCCCCCAUUCUCAUUAUGGCCCCCACCCACCGCCCAGGGGUGGGGGGAGUACUGCCCCCCCCCCAUUAUCACUGUUUAGGGGUGGGGGCCAAUAGUUGUGGUUUUUUUUACAGUGAGCAGCCACAGGCUGCUCACUGUUUAGUGGACAUGCCCCUACUCGCGGUAUAGCGAGUAGGGGCAUUUGGGAGAUUUUUAUCUCCCUUGUGCUAUUAUGGGGGUCAUAUUGACCCCCAUAGAGUGAGAGGGGGACCUGGGGGGCUUAUGAAGUGGUGGGGAGCACUGCUCCCUGCCGCUUCUAUAGUUACAUAUUACAAGGAGGGAGCUGCAUGCCGGUAGCUCCCUCCUUGUAAUAAACUGAACGAACAAACAUACACUGAUACAUUGUGUUUGUUUGUUCGGCUGAUAUUUCUAUUCACUCAUUCGUCUGUCUGAUGAAUGAAUGAAUAGCUGAAAUUCCCGUUCGCAUGUCCAGGUGUUUCACUGGGCAUGUGCGGGAAUCUCAGUGUCUGCCUAGUGUGGGCUGAUGACGUGUCCCUGAGGGACUUCACCUACCCACACAAAGAUGGCUGCGCCCUGAAUAUAGAUCGGGGCAGAAAAUAAGGAUUAAAAAAUAGGUAAUGCUGGGGGCUUAGGGGCAUUUGGGGGUGACUAGUGAGUCAAUUGGAUGUAGUGGAGGCGGGAGAGGGGUUAAAAAAAAAACAGAAUUCGGCAUGACAGUGCCGCUUUAAAUGUCAGUUGCCACAACUCUGACCUUUUUUCUAGUUUACCUAAAUCAUUUGCCAUUUGGCGUAUCCCUCCUGGAACAUCAACUCUGUUACAUAUCUUAGUAUCAUCAGCAAAAAGACAUACCUUACCAUCAAGACUUUCUGUAAUAUCACUAAUAAAAAUAUUAAAGAGAAUGGGUCCAAGUACAGAUUCCUGAGGUACCGCACUGGUGACAAGCCUAUGCUUAGAAUAUACUUCUUUGACUACAACCUUCUGUUGCCUGUCACUCAGCCACUGCCUAACCCAUUCAACAAUAUUGGAAUCCAAACUUAAAGAUUGCAGUUUAUUGAUAAGCCUUCUAUGUGCAACAGUGUCAAAAGCCUUACUGAAAUCUAGGUAAGCAAUGUCUACUACACGACCCUGAUCUAUAAUUUUAGUUACCCAAUCAAAAAAUCAAUAAGACUAGUUUGGAAUGAUCUCCCUGAAGUAAACCAAUGAUGUCUCUGAUCUUGAAAUCCAUGUGUUUUUAGAUGUUCAACAAUCCUAUCCUUUAACAUGGUUUCCAUCACUUUCCCCACUACUGAAGUAAGGCUUACUGGCCUAUAGUUGCUCGACUCCUCCCUACUACCUUUCUUGUGGAUGGGCACAACAUUUGCUAACUUGCAAUCUUCUGGGACUACUCCUAUUAACAAUGAUUGGUUAAAUAAAUCUGUUAAUGGGUUUGCUAGUACACCACUAAGCUCUUUUAAUAACUUUGGGUGUAUUCCAUCAGGUCCUAUUGACUUAUUUGCCUUUAAUUUUAACAGUUGAAAUAGAACCUCUUCCUCUAUAAACUCACAUGUAACAAAUGACUAAUUUGUCCUUUUUCCUAACUGAGGCCCCAUUCCUUCAUUUUAAUCUGUAAAUACUGAACAAAAAUAUUCAUUGAGGCAGUCAGCUAGACCUUUAUCCUCUUCUACAUACCUUCCUUCUUUUGUUUUUAAUCUAACUAAUCCCUGUUUUAAUUUCCUUUUCUCAUUUAUUUAUCUAAAAAAUGUUUUGUCCCCUUUUUUUACUGACUGUGCUAUUUUCUCUUCUGUAUGUGAUUUGGUAGCUCUUAUAACUUGCUUAGCCUCUUUCUGCCUAAUCUUAUAGAUACAAUGUAGACAUGGCUGUCUCACUUUGAAACUGAUGAUAAUAAAUGCCCUCCCCCUAAAAAAAAGUUUUAUGCAACCUCUAACAGCUGGGAAUUGUCUUCUGAGCCUCUGGGGUGAACGGUGGUUAUUUCCUACAUAUGCCAAGAGUUACGUGUAAGUGAAUGUGUACCAAAGUUUUGAUUAUAAGGUACUUGGAUGUCGAAAUGUUAACUGAUGUCAUUGCAAAGUGCACAGCUGCAUCCAGGAGAAAGCUGAAUUCUUAUCUCUGCUCAUGAUGUUGUUGCACUUUGAGCUGGAGAAGUGUGCCUACACUACAUAGAUCUAUCUUUUCUGUUUCAUCUUUGUGUUCACAGGAUGGAUCUGAUAUGACAUCAUAUGUCAGGUUCUCUAUAUACAUCUGUAGAGAGAGUAAAAGAAAGCUGAGAACAGAGAUCUGUUAGGCAAGAAAUCUGACUUCUUGUAGGACAUUUCAGUACCCCCUUUGGACUGUUAGGGAUUGGACAUUUCGACUACUUGUUGUUUCUUCAACAAGUCUUGUCUUCUUUAUCUCCUCCAUAUCUUAGGUAGUAAAUAGAGAUUGUGAGUUAAACUACAUGCAUAGAACCCUUACAUCUUUGUUACAGUGUCAUUCAGGACAGCUGUAGCAGAAAGACCUAUUAGACAGCAGUGAUAUCGCACACAUUUGGUAAUCGGUUUAAAGGUCCUAUGCAGGGGAAAUGUAGUCCACAACAUCUGGAAUGCCAAAUUUUGCCUAUCCCUGUCCUAAUGACUCGCAGGUUAUGAUAGUGAAAAUAUUGAAAACAAGUUUUGACCAUUGCUCACAUACUAAACUUGGACCAUUGCUCAAAGUCCAUAAAAAUAAUAUUUUUUAAAAAUAUAUAAUUUUGAUCAAAAAGUAAGCAACAUCUGAACAGCCUAACAAACCGGAUGCAUUCGUACUUGGUGUCAUAGUGAAGAAACCACAUGUGCACAUGUAAGGAUCUCUCCUUUAAGACUUAUGUAGAUCAAGAUGUAAAGAACCUAUUAAGAAUAUACUGUACAUGUUACUUCGAAUGUGAACAAUAUUACCUCUUCUAAACAUGAUGCCUUUUCAUAUUCAUAUACUGCAAUAGAAAAUAGCAAUUCGUCCAAAAUAAAGAAUUAAAAAAAAAAAAAAAAGUUAUAAAAUGUGCUACCCUACAGUCGCAAUGUUAUCUGUUAUGUUCAUUAACAUGUCUUAUAUUGCUGUUGUGGCGAGAUAUGCUGUACUGUUAUAGCUGCACGUCCAAAAUAAAGAAUUAAAAAAAAAAAGAAAAUAGCAAUAAAUUGACUGUAACCGAUUUCUCUCUCUCCUUUUUUUAAUUCACAGAUCUCCAUAUCGUGUCAACAAUUUUAGUGAUGAUUGGAAAGUUUGGAAUUACAGCAGCAUUUAAUAUGGUUUAUGUUUACACAGCAGAGCUUUAUCCUACAGUAAUCAGAAAUAUGGGUGUCGGAGUGGGCUCCAUGUCUUCCCGAGUUGGAAGUGUCAUCUCACCUUCUUUUGUCUACCUAGGUAAAUUAAUAAUUCACUUCUUAAAUAUGAGAGUUAAAUACACCUAGUAAACAUAUUACUAAGUAAAAUCAUAGGUAGGAAACAUACAGCUAUUGCGGAACUAUGAAACUCAUUUUGGCUGAUUUUUUUUUUUUAGUGCCACUAAAUAAUUGAGGCAAAUGGAAACCCAGAUUACAACAUUUCUGCCAAAAUAUCAGUUAGGAAAAUGAUCAAAUUCACUAACUUUUCUAACUUGGCUACUAAAAAUUGUGCUUUAGUGAAUGACCCUUCACAUUGUACUUCUAGAGUUGCUGGAUAGCUAUAUGUUGGAUAAUAGAGAUGUAAACAUUGAAAGUUAAUGAACUUUUUAGCGGACAUUAAGAGGUCACAGGCAGCAAGGGUUAAAAUUUAGAAUGUAGGUUAAAGGAAAAAUCAAAGAAUCCUAAAGUACAUAGAAGUUGUCAACACAACUCAGGUGUUUCCGCCCUCAAAAUAUAAAACUCAAAAAGAAAACAAUGUCGAACAAUACAUUUUAAAACUUAAUUUGUAUUACUUACUUAAUAAAUGUGUGUGCAAACUCAAUAUUAAUUAGUAAUCAUGAUUAGAGUUAGUCAAAAUUUAAUAGUAAUAACCAAAUAACCUAAAAGUCCUGAUGAUCUCUUUGGAAGGUCCUAUUUUUUUUCUUCUAUGUCUUUCAAUAUUUUAUUUAAGUUUAGAUUCCAUAGAGCCAAAUUAAGAAUCCUCCUUGAAGUUUUAACCCGCUCAGUCUCUUUUUCAAUAGCUCAUGUGUUUCUGUCAACUUUUCUUUUCAAUUGGUAAUCAGAAAGGCCACGCUUAUAAGAACAGUCUAGCAACAUUCCAUUCCUUUUUUCCAAAUGCACCUCUUUCUUAAUACGGCAGGCUGGUGGAAUAUCGGGGCAUAAUCUCCUAGGUGCCAGUCUCUGAUCCAGAUAGGACUCUAAGAUUUUAAUCUCCCACCACAUGCUGAUUUGUUUUCUAUAUAGCUUUUGUAUUUUGAAAAAAGCUUGCUUUAUAAUAGCUGGAUUUUGAAAAAAAAAAGCUUGAUUUAUAUUAGCUAGACUAAAUAGGUAAGGAUAUGCAGUUUUUCCUCUCUUUGCAAUUAGGGAUAAUUAGGAAAACGUCAUAUACAAGUUCACUGUUUUGUUUACAUUCUUUUAGUCUAGUUAAAAUUGUAGGGGGAUUGCUUUACUUUUAUAUAUAUAUAUACUAUUUAUUUUGACUGAGUUUGACUGUCCAUUUCCCCAAUCUUAUUUAAUUAUUUAUAUUUCUCUACUUUUUGGUACACCAACUAUCUACUAUAUGGCUUGCAAAUAAGUAGGGAUUCGCAGUUUUUCCUCUCUCUUUGCAAUUAUGGAAGAUUAGGGAACAGCCAUAAGAGCACUGCAGAACUCAGUAUAGUUGGUGUACACUAAAGUGUAUCCACAUUCCUUUAGUCUGGUUUAUAUUUCAGGGGGGUUUCUUUACUUUUUCCUUCUUUCUUUUUUCUUUGCACUUUUUAUUAUGACUGAGAUUGACUGAGGUGUCUAUAUGGUAUAUUAGAUCGAUAUAGUGCCCACUACUGACCAUAUAAGUACAACAUAGUAAUAAACUCCCGAACAAAUAACAAAAGUAGAAACAAACGCCUGAACGAGGGGCACAUGACUAACUCAUAUGUGAACGUCUACUUUCGUUAUUUUAUUCUGUUUUGUACUCCCGAAAGAGACCGACCGCUAAGCCUGAAUCUAUGGAACUCUUUUGGGCAGGCGCCUCGUGUGCGGUCGGUCUAAACUCUAUACCUGUGGCAUUUCAGCUGCGUUCAUGCUUUCUGGAUAUGUUGGGCGCUUAGAUCCAGGCUACCCGGGGAAAUAGGACUUGAUGUGGUACCCACUUGUUAAGUGUGUAUUUUUGGGUGUUUUUGUUAUGCAUGUCCUGGAACUGAGUUAAUGUAAUUUAUGUGUUUACAUAUUCCAAGAGGGGACUACAGUAAAAGUAAUCAGAAACCCCUUGCAUGGGGACUUGCAUAUAAGGCCAGUUGUGGUUUCCAUUAAAACAGUUCCACUUCACCCUCAACAUAGAGCCUCAUCUCAUGAUUGUAGGGAACAGUUAUACCUGCUUCAUUACUGCUUGGAUUACUGCGUGGGAAUAGUACAGCAUUACUCACACUAGAGGGAACGGACAUCUCUGGCAGCGGAAACCGCUCUUCUCUCUGGGUGGUCGCCACAUUUGGUGGCAGGGGUAAGAUGGUCCUUUUUCCCCAGAUGAAAUGCUAAAUGAAGAAUAUGAAAAGCUGAAAAGACUGACAUUAAAGGAUCUAUUGGAAAGCCGUGGUCGCACAGCCAGCAACCGACCUCGACGGGAAUUAAUUGCUGAAUUAACGGAAUUAGACCGAACAGCUGCAAUGGCCGAACCAAUUGUCCAUUCGGUUGGGAUUGGCGUUGUAUGGGCCAAAUCAUCAGACGGAUCUUAUCAACCAAGUGUUCAGAGCUGUUGAAGCCAAAGCCCGGGAGAAACGGGAAUACCAGCUGCGGUUGGCAGAAAUACAGCGAAUAGAGAGCCCAGCUGUGGCAAAUACUACCCCCCCUGCAGGAUGGAAAAAAGGUGCCUCUCACAGCAUUCAAGCAGUUUCAAGGAGCAGAGGGAGAAAUAGAUAACUAUCUCGCAGAUUUCGAGAGACAGUGUGCGCUGCACAAAGUACCCACAAACGAAUGGGUCACCAUUCUGUCUGGCAAGUUGUCAGGUAGAGCAGCUGAAGCCUUCCAGGCUAUACCUGAUGAGGAGAUACAAGAUUACCACGCAGUUUAGGCAGCCUUGCUCGCCCGGUAUGCAGUUACCCCCCGAGGCAUGAUUUUAAUGAAUUUAUUAACUGAACAUUGCAGGCAUAGGAGUAAUGUAAAUGCUUUUACAUUUUUUCUAAAUGUAAAAUUUUUUAUUUAAAUGAAAAAAUGUGCAUGUUUUUUGUAUUUGUUUUCAGGGUUGGCUUUGAGUGCUUAAAUGUAAGACUAAUGAACGGGUUUGUUAAAUUACACUUUUCAUUUAAUUCAGGUAGGGACAGGAUAGAUGAUGACAAGUGAACUUGAAACUUGAAUAUGAUUGUCAGCAUGAGCCCUGAAAACAGAAUUGUUAAUGCUAUAGUUAAAGGAUCACUAUAGUGUCAGGAAAACAAACUCGUUUUCCUGACACUAUACAACCCUUAGGUCCCCCCUCCCUUGGCAGUGAAGGGGUUAAAACCCCCUUCAGUUACUUACUUUAAUCCAGCGCCGGGCUCCCUCGGCGCUGGUGACCUCUCCUCCCCCACCGACGUCAGCUCCCAAAUGGAGCGCACAUCCAAACAGUCCAUAGGAAAGCAUUUCUCAAUGCUUUCCUAUGGACGUUCUUUCUCAAUGCUUUCCUAUGGACGUUUCCUAUGGACAUUCACGCUGAAUGCGAUUUUCAGGAAGACAGCCACUAGAGGCUGGAUUAACCCUGCAAUAUAAACAUAGCAGUUCUCUGAAACUGCUAUGUUUACAUAUGAUGGGUUAAAACCUGGGGGACCUGGCACCCAGACCACUUCAUUGAGCUGAAGUGGUCUGGUUGACUAUAGUGUCCCUUUAAUAUGCUCAUCAAUGAACAUUUUAAAUAAAAAUAAACAAUAAAUGUGACUGCAGUUAUUUUUUUCAAUUGGACCAUUUUUAUUAAGUUUUGUGGGAUACAGAAAAAAAGAGGGAAGGGUUAGCGGGUGAGAGAAACGAUUGUCUUGAGUCCAAUGACACUUCUAAGUAUGAUCCAGCAAUUGUUUGCAGAACAUCACAUAAUAUACAACAUGCUUUUACAGAGAUUCUGAGAAUUACAGUUGUUGACUCCAAUCCUUAUACAUAGUGGUACUCCUAUAUAGUAUUACCAAUAAUACAUAAAUCUGUCCAGCCUGUCCUCCACAAUUUACAAUAGUGAUGUGAUAUCUUAUUUAGCUGUGGUAUCUCUAGUUGGAGGCUUAUACUUAGCUAUAGACUUAUGGCAUGAUAUUCCAGUCUAAUGGAUCUUGUCUGUCAUAUCCUUGGAGUGCAUGUGCGUAUCCAGUGUGUGAAGUUACCACUUGUGGGGGUAUGUUGGGGUAAACUCGGAGUAGGUUGGGGAUAUAGCCUCAUUUGAACUUGAGUCUAAACCAAAUUUAUAAACAAAUUCAGCAGGCGAGUCCUUUCCCUCACAUGCGUUGAGCAUCACAGGGCAGCGUUGACAGCAAUGUUUCUUUCGUACAUUCAUCAAAAACGAACACUUAUGUCAUCAGGAAUGCCAAUGAGAGCACCACCUCAGAAGAGGGCCCACCCUAGAUAUUUAUAAAUUUUUUGUAAUUUUGAUGUGUUUUUUUACUGCAAUUUUUUUAUGUUUUCCACUUUCUUUUUUCCAGGUGCAUAUGACAGGAUAUUGCCUUACAUCCUCAUGGGGAGUCUGACUGUAGUCAUGGGAAUUCUAGUUUUGUUGUUCCCAGAAACUUUAGGCAGACCUCUGCCAGAGACUAUUGACCAAACACAAAACAUUAAGGGGUAAUGUAUUAAACUUUUCACAAUCCAUCCAUGCCCCUUUAUUUUUUUGAUUUGUUUUGUACUAGCACAUAUAUGAAGAUACCCCAUUAUAUACACAGAGAAUAAUAUACACACUUUGUUUCAAGAUUAGCUGCCUGUAGUCACCUCUUUCACCCUAAUCAUCAGAGGCUUUAGGAGCCUAUUAUAUGUGUCUUAUCCAAAACUCUUGAGACUAAGGGUGCCUUGUGGUCCCUCUCGACCCCCACCAUUUCUCUAGCGCAUUGCAGGUUCUGCUUUUUGUUGUUUUUUGUAAUAUGGAAAGUUCAGUGUACAUGGUAUAUCUACCUUGGCCAUUAUCUGUGAAUUAUAAUAACUGCCGUGAUCUCCCAAAUUUCACAGUUUUGUUAUGAGUCCACCUCAGGACGGUGAAAAAUAUUCAUGGAGUAGGAGAGAUUCAAUGAAUUAACAUUGAUGUACUGGUGUAGUUCACUGGGGCUCAUCUAAAGUGAAAAACCUGUGGACCAUAGACAUAUAUACAUUAAAGGACCACUAUAGUGCCAGGAAAACAUACUCGUUUUCCUGGCACUAUAGUGCCCUAAGGGUGCCCCCACCCUCAGGGACCCCCUCCCGCCCGGCUCUGGAAAGGGGAAAGGGGUUAAAACUUACCUUUUUCCAGCGCUGGGCGGGGAGCUCUCUGCCUCCUCUCCUCCUCUGUUACGCCCCGCCGGCUGAAUGCGCACGCGCGGCAAGAGCUGCGCGCGCAUUCAGCCGGUCUCAUAGGAAAGCAUUUACAAUGCUUUCCUAUGGACGCUGGUGUGCUCUCACUGUGAAAAUCACAGUGAGAAGCACGCAAGCGCCUCUAGUGGCUGUCAAUGAGACAGCCAAUAGAGGGAAUAGGGGGAAGGCUUAACCCAUUGAUAAACAUAGCAGUUUCUCUGAAACUGCUAUGUUUAUUAAAAAAUGGGUUAACCCUAGCUGGACCUGGCGCCCAGACCACUUCAUUAAGCUGAAGUGGUCUGGGUGCCUAGAGUGGUCCUUUAAGGUGGGGAUAUUGUGUUAGAUUCUAUUUUUAAUUAUAAAUGAUAGUAAUUAAAUAACAAUUUUAGCAUGGAUGCCAAUGGGAGAACUGCUCUUCAGCCAGCAUUAAAGGAACACUACACAACCCAUAUUAGAAAAGAAAAUUAAAUCACUGUUUAGUAGAUACACCCCAAUGAAUACAUACAUGCUUUUCUACAUGUAUGUAUUCAUAGGGAGUAUAUCUUAAAACAGUUUGCAAAAGAUGCAGUUCUUAUGAACUGCAGACUUUGAAAGCCACCCCCUUCAUAUGGAAAUAGCUAAUCUGAGACUUAUCUGAAGGGCACUGGUGCUACUCUGAGGUCGGAACCCCCUCCCCCUCUCUGGCUGUUUGAUUAAUUAUUUAUGAAAGUUAUGAUUUCUAAUAGAAAUCAGCAUUUUUAUUAACGGCCAUUAUUAUGGGAUACUUCUCACCCAUAAAGCCGAAGGGCAUAAGUACAUUUUUUGCAAUUUAAUGCAGUCCAUAGUCCCUUCAUAAUCUUCUUGCCUUUACUUUAAAGCAAGGAUCCAGGAAUAUGUGCAUUCUCAAGUACAAAUCUCACUUGCUCUGUUCCUGUCAAGGUGGUAGAGACACCUAAACUCAAAGUAUAGGUUAGUUCCCUGAACUAGAAAAUAGCUAUGUAAUAGCAAAGUGUAUUACCCAUUCUUAGAAUGUCUCGGCUUAAUGCAAAAAUGUCCAGAAGGCAAUCAAUUGUAUUCAAAGACAAGCCAAAGUCAUUAAUACCAGAAAAGCAACAUAGUGAUGUAACUAGAUCAUUUUGGCAUACCAUAAAAAAGUUGAUUAUAAGCCUGUGGAGUCUGAACCAGAAAAUGACCACAAGCAUAAGGAUAUGGUUAUCGGCAAUUAUGUUCAUAUUUCUCUGCACAGAGUUGCAUACGUUGUCCGAGAGCAAUCAGCAGAUGUCCUCAGCCAAUAAGUGGCCAGCAAGAUGGCCAUACUGACCAUCACAUCCCAGCAGGGACACAGCUAAGAGGGCAACCCAUUGCAAAACACUCUGCCUCAUUACCGGAAAGUUGGGCCAGGGCACUCAUGGAAUUAUGUUGUUAAACUACCCACUUGUCAAACAGCUUAAUAUCAAAGUUUGGUCCCUGUGCACCUGUUCGAUCCACUUAUAGGAAAUUGUUCAUAAAGUGAAAUAGGACAGAUUUCCCCUGGAAGAUGUAUCACAGUUAAAAUUCUGCAUUUAUUACAUGUAUGCAAACAAAAGCCUUUGCUUAGGCAAUCAAUUUUUAAAGGUGAAUAUGAUGGCUUUACUAAUAUUAUAAUGAUACAUUUUACAUUUUUGUCUUCAAAUAAAAAAAAAUUAUUUUAUUUUUUAUUUUAGGAUUUGCUGUAAAAGAAAUGUCCCUCUAGAAAAUCAUGUACAUAAAGAAGAAUUCAAGAAUGGUUCUGUUUUAAUGUCUUCACAAUUAUGAUAUAAGUAAUUCUGCUAUUUAGUUUGUGUUUCCGUGCAUCUUUGGUCCUCAAGUUGAGAGAUAUUCAAUAACAUGUGAAUUGAAUUGGACUGGCGUAGCGAUGAUUGCAAAAUAAUAGAAUGCUAUUAAGAAGACUUCAACAAGUCUAACAAUGCCAUAACAAAGUAAAAAAGAAAAACUACAUCUGUACUAACUUUUUUUAUGUGGCUUUAUUGUGACACUUGCACAAUACAGUCAUGAUACAGUAACUUAAUUAUAUAAGGUUGUGUGAAUGGUUUUCUAUUGUUGUUUAUGAAACUUUGUUAUUAUCUGUAGGUUUUCUUUUUAUUCACAAGCAGUUUUAAGACACCAUCUUACAAAAUUCUAUUAAAAUCCUUUUGACCAAAUAUGUCAAUUUUUUUUAUAGAUAAUUGCUGCUCUAUUUUUAUACAGCAGUUGUCAUUAACUGCAAUGUAAAUAUUAAAUAUUUUAUGGAAAUUUAUCCUGUGUAUGGUAUUUAAUCACAAUCUCAUGUGGAAUGGCACUUGAAAAACCCAGUUAUUUUGACAAGUACACAUUUGGGGCUUUGGGACAACCCAUGCCACAAAAUGAAUUUCUUAUAUAAGCACAUAAACAGCCAUUCUCUGUUCAUCUUCCAAUCCCCUCAUAACAGAGAAUCCAUACUAAGAAGACCGUGCCCACCAUUGAGGUGCAUAACUAAUUCAUGUUAGCACAUUUAAUGUCAUUUAACUUCCUGUUUUCUACUUCAUUUAAUGUCAUUUAACUUCCUGCUUUAGUGUAGCCACCGUAACCAUUUUAUCUCGAUAAAUUGGCUAAAGUGCCAGGAGUCUCCUGGCAUGGCUAUUUAUUGUUAAACUAUUUUCAUCAGUUUAAGACUAAAUAAGGGUCCGUAGCCACGCACAGCCUAGUCACUAAUGGAGGUGUGUCUAAGGCAGAGAUUACUCGGUUUCUUCUAACAUGCCUCCCACCAAGUCCCACUUUUGGUGGGACAGUAUUGAUUUUGGGGUCCUGUCCUGGAUCUGGGCACACCAGGGACGUGUCCUCGGGCAGCACAGCGUGAGCACAUCAUUAGACACGUUUGCAUUGUGCUGUGGGCACUGUGAACAUGAAGUGAGUGCUUCAGUAGAGCUGACUGAGAGGCUGUCAGUGAUGCGGGUUGUAUCAUUGGUGAUGUCCCAUAAUGGCUCCACCCACCCUGUCUUGAUUCCAUACCUCCUGUUGUUGGGAGGUAUAUUGUAGUGAUAUCCAUUUUACCUCACAACAGUAAAACAAAUGAGAAUAAGAAGGAUUAGGAGAGGGGUAACACUCAUGGGUGUCCGCAGGGGUGGGGCAACCCACUUACCCCCCCUGGAUUUUUCAGCUUGUUCUGCUAUUUUUCGUGUGAUUGAAAAUGAACUGCAAUACCAGCGCCGGCCAGUAGGUAUGGAGAGAGACAGGGAUAGGAAGCUGCAUCUAUCCCUGCUUCUCUCUGCUGAUUGAAACCGCAGGGGAGCAGCACAUGCAGCCAGAGACAGCCUACAGAUCAGGUAAGUGAGGGAUGGGGUGGGGGGGUUUAAAAUAGCCUAUAGAUUAGGGGAGUGAGGCAUGGGGGGCAGCCUAUAGAUUAGGCAAGUGAGGCAUCGGGGGCAGCCUAUAGAUUAGGG